GCAAAAGCUUGAGAUCUAAAACGUUAUGUAGGUGCGACCUCGGUGGUAAUGCCAACAUAUAGGCGAGCUCGUUGAUCUUUUCGAGUAUCCUGAGUGGGCCGAAGAAUCUGGGAUGGAGCUGUGACUACACUAGGAGAUUCCAACCGUUGCCCAAUCAGCUGCUGCAUCUUCCUGAUGGCUUCCACUUGGUCACUGACGUCGUUUGAUGAAAUGGGAGUUGUCAUCAAGAUCGGGGAAGCUACUGCACGUCCAUAAAGCGCCUGGUAUGGAGACAUACCGAUGGUUGAGUGCCGAGCAGUGUUGUAGGCAACACUGCUCCCGUUGAAUGGUGGUACUUGGAACUCGAAAGGUCGGCGCAUAACUCCCUCGACCUGGUCACUGCAGCUCCCAAGACCCGCAAGCUGUCGUCCAUAUCUUCCUGCCGAUCGGAUAUGCACCUUAUCAUCUUCUCUUGUGCUGAUAAAACAUCAAGACUAAACCUUGGUAAAUCCCCUGAAAUCGCCACCUUCGGCCUCCUCUAUGGUGCUGCCAUUGCCCGCCUCACACCAAGGAAGAACAAGGGUAUAUAAAUUCCCUCCCUCCCAUUAUCCACGACCAGUCCAGAGCACCAAAAACUGUGAAAGCGAAACGAAACAUCCCGGCCGCUUUACCUGAUAGCCGACCUCCAACGACUGGUCUCCUUCACGACCUCGAGCGUGUGUCCCACGAUACCACUGUUAUCGAGCAAGGGAGAGGGAAAAGAGAUCCGAAGGAAAGCUCCACGCCGAGCAUGAGAUGGGGAGAUGUGAGCGUGAGAGCGGUGAGGAAGGACUGCAGGGAGAUAAGAUGAGAAAGACAGUAAUAUACUCUUUCCCUCUGUUCCCAGUUUUAAAAGUACAAACAGCUAACUGAAACUGAAUUUCCCCUUUAACAUCGAAAGCUUAUCCAGUGCCUAACGUGUCAAGUUUUAGCUUUCAGGAAAUAUGGAGCCAUGAUUUUUUUUUGUUUCUUCCUUGUUUUUCUUGAGGCCCGAGCUAAUGGUAUUUUGAAAGACUCGGUCAGUUUUUGUUCCUCAUUCGUUUGCUUUUCUUCCAUGCAAACGUUCCAAAGUUCUCACAAUCGAUCUUCAACACUAAACCAUGGUGGAAACUCUUAAUUUGCUUCCAACCAAAGACUUUAAAUUUCUUUUCCAGAUUUCGAUGUUAAAGGGGAAAUUCAGCUUUAGCUAGCUGUUUGUGAACUUUGAAUAAAGAUGCUUUUAAAAUUGCAUCAGAACACGUAUGGACGGGGGAACAGAGGGAAAGAGUACGAAGGAUAUAUUACUGUCUUUAUCUGUCUGCAGUCCUUCCUCACCGUUUUGUUUUUUUCUCAUAGGCUGCCAGCUAUCACAGUUACACUCACCUUGAGUUUAAUGUAUUCUUUGAGAGACUUUGUAUGUACGGGUAAAGAAGUCAAUGGUACGCAAGCCUCUGUUCAUGCUUGUACUGAAAUAGUAAAACAAAAUUUUCUUGCUGCUUUCUGCAGUCACUCAUACCUGGAGCAAUAACACGGAUUUCCCUGAAGCGACUGGUCUCCAAGACCGGUUUGUUAGAGAACUUAUUGUAGAGGCUUUGUUCGCGAGCAAUCUUUUUCAGCUGUUGUCGCUGGUUUACGCUCCCAGGAAAUGGGGAUUAGCAGGAUGGGCGCCCUCUAUCAAGGACGGUACCGCAGGUAAGAGAGCUGUUGCUAGAAACUUCUUGUGUCUUUGUUGCUAAUCCAGACACUGGAUUGAUUCGGAUUAUGCUGGGUACGAUUGCUCUGACAAUUACUUGCGAGUCCAGUCACGUUAGUUUGCUGUUAGUCUACAUGGCUUGUUGCUUUUUCUGUUCGUGUUGCCAUCUGGCCUGCCUAAGAGCAUGGCGUACAUGGACUGCGAGCCAGAAAACAUCGAAGACGUGACACGAGCGCUUGAUGCAAAACACUGUAGCUUGCGGAGAGCAGAUUGUCCUAGCAGCGGUUGACGUGGUUCGUGGACAAUCUGAGAGUGCAGAAGUUCUAUUCUACUUCAGAAUCGGUGUUUGCAGUCACUUGCAAAAAGCAGGGAAGUAGCCAAUUCUCUCAAAUCCAAGUCAUUUGUAUUAGAAAAAGAUACAAGAAGACUUUCUACUUUAUAUUCUUGUACUAGAAGAAGAAGAAGACCGUAUUCGCGAACAUAGCACUCACAGCUCCUCCUGCAUGGGCAUAGUCCUUCUCCCAAUGGGAGAAAACUCCCCAAAACAAAGCAGAAAUUAGAGAACACACGGAGAACACGACGUACAGAGGUGACCGUGGGAAACCAAGCCGAAGAACUCCGCGCAGGCCAAGAGGAAAGGCUGAUGCUACGACGUAGAUUCCCGCUGUGACCCAGAUGCGUGGCGGCUGGUGCUGAAACGCGAGCGAAAACCCAGGAGACGCAAGACUGAGCACCAGCGAAGAACACAGUAUCGCGACUCCUCGUCCCCGUUCAGCAGGCAGCUUGGCAAUCACCGUGAACAGCCCAAACACACAGAAGAAACCUGAGAAUGCAGCGACGAAGGCCGACACGAUAACCAAGUGGUGGUAGUCUAUGCGAUCGCUGUUCCACUUCUCCACAUCUUUGAUUCGUGGAGCAGCAAAUGGGGACUCUUGGGCUCUUCAGGAAAGCUAGGAAUCUUUGGCUCGGGACGCAUUUCACCAGCAUUCUCACAGGAAGAAGAGAGAACGAGAAAAACAUACCUGUCUCGCCCGCAAUGCCACCAAAAACCCUCUUCACAAGUAAAAAUCUCAUGGUUUUGACCGUCUGGUUAGUUAAGCCAGUAGGAGCGCGUCUGGUUAGGCUACGGCUGGAUCGGAAUGUCCACCUCCAACUUUAUGAUCCACUGCGGUUCAAACGCAAAAAUCUCACUUCCACAAAUCAAAUAACUUUAUAAGUUCCUGUUAUUUUCCAAAACACGUUUGAAGGGCAACAAUAAAUAAUUUAUAUAAUCAAACAGGGCAAAACCUUUUCUGGGCUUAUAAGCUAAAUCAAACUUUUUUCUUGGGACUGGAACUUGGAGCAAGGAAUAGUUAGUAAGCAUAUACAUCUCAAAUCACUCAUGGUUUAUCAUUUAGUUUACAAUAGCACAUGCUUGUGAAGGAAAAUCAUCUAUAGUGAGGUGGUUCAUAAAAGCACUUUGUUUUCUUGGCUGCAAACGAUGGCUUUUUCCAAAUCAUGGGUUUGCAGGCAACAAUAUAUAUGUAUAAGGUGAUUGGUGGAUAUCCUAUGAUUUCUUUAUGUGAGCUAGUUUACAUAUUUUGUGUAGACGAUGCCACAAUGGCAGAAGAUCAACUUUGAUCUAGUGUUUUUUAUUAAGUGUUACUAAAUUAGACUUAACAUCUGUACUUUACUACACAAGCAUAAAGAAGGAAUAAAUGUCUAUUUAACUCAACAUACUUGGCUUAGUUUGUUAAUUUUAUGUUGCUCUAUUUUUCAUUAGCUUAACAAAAAUCCCCUCAACAUUGAUCCUAAGCUUGCCAAUUGGGUGUGUUUUCAUGUGGGUUUAUAGGUUUGUUUUAUUAAUAUGGUUUUGUAAUUAAUUUUUUAAUUAGCGCUCCACCUCCAUUUUCUCUUGUUGAAGCUGGCAAAGCUGGAGAAUCAGUGGAGACGGACCAGUGCUUCAAUCAUGACUAUGGUGCUCGCUAUUUUGCUAGCCAACACUAGGGCCGUGCUACCUAGAUCAAAAAAGAAAUGAGGUAAGCUAUCUACUCUUACUUGCGUGUAGCCAACACUCUUGUUGCACAUCCUCGUCACAUAAGAAAAGCAAUUGUUAUGGUACAAAGAAUCUCAACUCACUAUAUUGAUAGCCUCUCUAUUCACAAUGCUGGACUAGCUGAAGGAAAAGAAAAAAAAAAAAAAACAACAAUAAUCUAAUGUACCACUAGAUCCACUUACCCACACAUGAAUCCCUCAAACUUGAAUUAAGCCAUUACUUGGAUCAUCAUGAAGAAGUAGCAACUUCUCCUCUUGCGGCUUGGAGUGGGUUAAUAGAUUAAACUAGUAUUGAUCGGUGAUAAAAGAAUAAUACAAACUACAUGUUUGGAUAUUGGCUCUUAGUUUCUUUUUGCUCUAUCUUGCAUUGGCUUGAUAAAAACCUUCACAUAUUGAGAUUAAUCCCUCAAUAUUGCCAAAUGAUACCUUACCGUGUUUGCCAAACACCUUUGCUAUCAUGUACCUUAUGUUAGUACCAUUUGAUUUCAAUUGUUAUUUAUGGAAAGUGUUUUGUGGAGUUGUGGGAUUCCAAAUGUAUAGUAGGGAUAGUGGGUAAGUUGGGUAUGGUUGACCAAUCUAAAGCAUAAUCUACCUCCGACUUGUGUGUUUGUACUUGUUCUAUUCUGGCUUGAGUUUAAGCCCAAAUUCCACACCAUGCUAAUUGGUGGAAUACCUAUAUCCUCACGUUAGGCUAUUGGUAUGUUGAAAUAACACCAAACUUUGUUUGACUUCAUUUUGUAUGUUGAUCCUCGCAUUGGGAUGCUGGAUGCUUUAAAAUAGUUCCUAUGUCACUUUGUGCUCCUGUCCCUUCGCUCCUUGAGCUGAAUACUUAGGAAUCACUCUGUGCUCUAGUACUUUCACUCUUUGACUGCAAAGCUUGGGAGUUUGGCUUUGUUCUUUUAUUCAGUGGCAUAGGGCCAUGAAACUCGAGUUCCACACCACUGUCCUUAAACAUAUAGCAUGUGACACAUAGUAUAUGGAGGGUUAAGUUCCACUUCAUGGUUAUCCUAUGGUACAUCACCAUAGGAUAAAGGGUUAAAACUAUAUGUGUUACAAAUUGGAAGUGUAAAAUGUGGUAUUUAGAUCUAUUAGCAUAUUUACAGAAUGUAAAGAUUAUCCUUAAUAUAAUAGUUUUAUUCAUAUAUUCAAAUUCACAAUCUCGUAUCAUUCAAUAUUUAAUAAGUUUUCUAGAUUGUCCUAAAGAUUGGGCGAAAGCUCUAAAUAUAUUUUUUAUAUAUAGUAGGGGUUCUAUAAGGGUUCCAAAUGUAUAAUAGAGAAAGUGGGUAGGAUAGGUAUGGCCGACUAAUAUAAAAUAUUAUUUACUUGGGUCUUGCUCUAUUGCUCUUGGCAUAAGUAUAUAAGGGUUAAAUUCCAUUUAGUGACCAACAAACUUGAAAUUUUUUAUGAGAACAGAGACAAAAAAGAAAAGGGGGUUUACUUAUUCACAUGAUGCAUAAUUUAAUAUAAUUGUAGUGCAUCUUUGUGUUUCGUGUUGAUGAAUAACACCUCAACUUGGACAUAUUUCUUCUUGUUAAAAGCAAAGAAAUGAUUAAUCACAAUAUUCUAAACUUUUAACCAAUUGUUCCCAUCCCAUACAUGGAAUAUAAUGCCCUUGAGCCAACUUUAAUUUUAAUUAUGAUCUAGCUCUCUCUCAAAUUCGUUAUUCUUGUUUACCCAACAUUAUUCUCAUUUAGCCUUGAUUUCUUUAUAACAUAAGUGGUUUGUUGCAACUGUUUUGUGAACUUAUCCUUUUUAUGAAGAUAGCUUUCAAGAUAAAAUUUGUUAACCAUCUUCUCAUUUAGAAUAAAAACUUUUUGCACAACCUCAUUAAAUAGCAUCAAAAAAAGAGGAACAAAGAGAGGUUUGUUGUCAUAAUGAAUCCUGAUCUUCUUCAUCACAUCAAAAAGCAUUCCAACAUGAAACAUCUUCACAGGAAAUAAAUCAUCAAUAAAAGGAAUCAUAAGUUUCUUAGCAGCAAAACUCCUCUUUAUACCAUCAAUUUUUAUCUUUGCACAAUCAUUUUCAAGGUUCAGCCCCUACUAAUUUUUGAAUGGUGGAAUUUUUAAUUGUUCACUGCAGAAUAAGGUGAUUGAAGAAGCAACAUUCAUACCAAACAUAAACCAUUAUGGGAUUAAACAUAUAAAUUAACUGGCUAGAAGGGGUUUCAAAACAAAAACAAGUUUGUAUAAUGCUUAUUGUGAAGAGCUAUUUGAACAAUGCAUCAUCUAUAAACAGUUCUAAGAAGGAAGGUAUGUUAGUUUGAAAUUAGGCUAGUAAGAAGUCUAUGCAAGAAAAAGUGGCACACCUAGUAGUGCACAGAAAUGGGUGGUUGAUAUGCUUAACUUUAACAUACAAGCUAGGUAGAUUGGCAUUAUGUCAAAUCCAAGUGCCUGUAGAGAAAAAUAAAAAAUAAAUUCUAGAAAGUAGGCAACAAUAGCUUUAUAUAUAGUUGGGAAUGAUGAUAUACAUAAACUGGACACCAUCAGUUCAAGACUACUCAUCCAGAAAGAAUUUAAACUUUGCCAAUACUGAAACCACAACAACACAAAUUAGAGAUCCAAACUUGGGUGUAGUGAACAUUGUGGAGAAGGACAUUGAUGACUCAUUCUGGGCUUUACGAUGUGUUGGGAAAGAUAAACGUGAUACAUGCAUAGGAUGGCUUAAAGCAAAACACAGACAUUGUAAGAAGUCAAUUCCAAAAAAUACAAUGGCACCAAGCAUAACAUGAUAUAGCAUCUAAACAUUUUGGUUCUAUAUAAAUGAUAUUCAGUCGUGCUCCACUACAAUGGCCAGUUGCUAAAGGCACAUUAAUAACUUUGGCACACAGCUACACGUCCGCCCGGUCCCUGGACGAUCUAGACACCUGCAAUGAUCGUCAAGGACCUGGUGGAGCCAGUGUCGGACACCUUCAUCAACCUCGUGAACAUGGACUACGUCGAAAAGUAGUGUGGCAUCCGGAUCAGGAAGGGGGGGAGCACGCAGGCCCAGCCGCUGGAGAGCUUCGCAGUGAAGAUCUCCAACUUCGAGUCCAAGUUCUCCAGUGCAGUCUCCGAAGGUGGAAGGGUGGCGGUGGCGGUGGCGGGCAGUAUCAAGGACGUGCUUCCACACCUCUCGCAGGUCGGGGAGUUUAGCAUGGAAGUGAGCCUGGAGGCAUCGGUCAUCCUGUCCAAACAGGUGGAUCAGCUGGGGAUCAUCGGGAAAGUUGGCGGGCUGCUGGGCGACGGGAACGUGAACGUGAGCUUCAUGAGCGUGGGGAGGACUUCGCCCAGGAAGCAGGCGGUGAUGGCGAUUGGCGUGGAUGAGGAGCCGAGCAAGGAAGUGCUGCACAGGGUCAGGGCCAUCCCGGCGGUGGAGGAGUUCGUGUUUCUCAAGCUCUAGGAAGCUUUUUCUAUCACAGGUUGAUAGAAAAUCUCUGGAAGAUCAUCGCUCAAGCGAAGUUCUAUACAUUGUCCAGCAUUGACAAGGUUUGAAAGUAGUAUUUGAUCGUUCUUGUGUGAGUGAGAGCCGUGGUCAAACUUUAGGAUCAUUAUGGCGAACGAGGAGAAGGUGUGUGUCACCGGCGCUUCUGGCUUCCUGGCAUCUUGGCUCGUGAAGCGGCUAUUGGAGGAGGGAUAUCACGUCGUCGGGACUGUGCGCGAUCCAGGUACAUAGAAACGAGAAGAAACAUAGUCUAAUUCUCUUGUUUGUGGUACUAGACGAUGCGAGCGAGACUUCCCACCUGUGGGAGCUUCCAGUAGAGGCUGGAGCUCAAGAAGGCCGACCUUGUCACGCAAGGGGCCUUUGACGAUAUUGUUCAAGGCUGCGAUGGAGUAUUCCAUGUCGCGGCUGCCAUGACUAUCAGCUACAAGGAGGAUCCACAGGUAACUUUGCUUGACUCCUUCGAUUCGGUCUAACCUUGUAUCACUUUUACUGGUUGUUUUUGCUUUCGGUUCUUCUUCCAGGCCGAGAUUGUUGAUCCAUGCUUGCUUGGAACUCUAAAGGUGCUCAAUGCCUGCAAGAGAUCCACGACAGUCAAGCGAGUGGUGUGCACGUCAGCCGUGGCUGCUGUUCGCGUGAGGAACGACUUCAAGCCCGAUGACGUCUUGGAUGAAUCGGUGUGGAGCUCUUUUGUCGAGUCAAAGCUUAAUACAAUUUACAAUUACAGCCAAUCCUCUAGCAAGAAGGACGUUGUGAACCGGCUUCGUGGCUUGCUGACGAUUAUGGAUUUGGAGAUCUAGGAAGACUCAGUUGCCAUCCUCACUAGAUUCUCUAUUUUUCCAAUAUCGAUUUCUUCGGUCUAACUUGCCCAAAUCCCAUGAUCUCAGGAGACAAACCCCGGACCAAGAAAAAUUAAACAAUGGAGCGAAGUCAGCAAGACCAAGAUCAAACAGAGGUAAUGCAAUUAUGCAAUUAUGCAAAGACAAAGUUGAUGCAUCCAGCAAACUCAAUCAAACGCAUAAAGAAAGUAGACCAGACAAUCGGGACGAAUUUGGCAUUGAAGACGUGCGAGUUCUGGUUUGAAUGGGUGAUUGAGGGUAAAUUCCCCAGAAUGUCUUGUAAAUGCAGAGAAAGAUAUUCUACUCUUGCACUUCUAUCUUCUUUGUUUUUUAUUGGAAGCUUGACUGAUUCAAGGUGCUCGUGUUAUUUCCAUAGCACUUUAUUGGAAGUAAACUAUCAAACUCAAGUUAAGAGGCCUUUGCGUUCCAGGCUCUCAACGCAAUCGUCGAACAUUUGCUCCAGCGACUUGAAUUGGAUCCCAAGGUCGUCCUGAAGCUUUCUGGAGCUGAAUCCCUUGAAAUUUGCCGGCGACCGGACCUUAAUCCUGAGGUGAGCUUGAGCAACGUCGUCGAGAUGGACGUAUCCAGCGUGAUCUAUCCACUGCUUGGCUCCUGCAAUGAGUUUGGAAUCUCAAAAACGUCCCGUUUUUUUUCUUCCGAUAUAGAAAGGCUUGCCUUGGAGCGCGGUGGCCCUGGACGAGAGAAGUUCUCCAGCGAUUAAGCUGGGAGCGAUUGUGAUCACAUCUAUGCCACUUUCUUUCCCAAACUCGAGUGCUGCUUGCUCGGAUAGAGUCUUUCCCAGACCAUACCACAUCUAAACUUCAAAAACUUUUUAAGAGUUGGUCCUUUGGAAAUAAGACUGAUUCUCAUGGCAGCACAAGAAAAUAAAGAACCAAGAUCGCGACCUAGCAUGCGCGGAUUCCUGAUGACGAUCGGCUAUGAUCCUGCGCAAAUGGGCAAGAAAAGCCACAUGAUUGUUAUCCGAACAUGCAGUCUGAUUAUUCUUUUAUCACCUAUCAGUACUAGUUUAUCCAUUACCCGCUUCAGCCGCAGAGGAGAGUUGCUUCUCUUUCCAUGAUGAUCCAGUAAUGGCUCGUCAGUCUGAGGGAUCAUCUGUGGUAAGUGAUCUAGUGGUACAUUAGAUUGUUGUUGUUUUUUUCUUUUUUUCUUUUUCUUCAGCUGGUCUAGCAUUGUGAAUAGAGAGGCUGGCAUUGUCAAUAUAGUGAGUUGAGAUUUUUUGUACCAUAACGGUUGCUUUUCUUAUGUGAGGAGGAUGUGCAGCAGGAGUGUUGGCUACACGCAAGGAAGAGUAGAUAGCUUAGCUCAUUUCUUUUUUGAUCCAGGUAGCACGGCCCUUGUGCUGGCUAGCAAAAUAGCAAGCACCAUAGUCAUGAUUGAAGCACUAUAGGUCUGUCUCCACUGAUUCUCCAGCUUUGCCAGCUUCAGCAGGAGAAAAUGGAGGUGGAGCGCUAAUUAAAAAAUUAAUUACAAAACCAUAUUAAUAAAACAAACGCAUAAAGCUUAAGCAACCCAUAUGAAAACACACCCAAUUGGCAAGCUUAGGCUCAAUGUUACAAUAUAUAUGUAUAAGGUGAUUGGUGGAUAUCCUAUGAUUUCUUUAUGCGAGCGAGGUUGCAUAUUUUGUGUAGACGAUGCCACAAUGGUAGAAGAUCAACUUUGAUCUAGUGUUUUUUGUUAAGUGUUACUAAAUUAGACUUAACAUUUGUAUUUUACUGCACAAGCAUAAAGAAGGAAUAAGUGUCUAUUUAACUCAACAUACUUGGCUUAGUUUGUUAAUUUUAUGUUACUCUAUUUUUCAUUAGCUUAACAAAAAUCCCCUCCACCUGCAAACCCAUGAUUUGGAAAAAGCCAUCGUUUGCAGCCAAGAAAACAAAGUGCUUUUAUGAACCACCUCAUUAUAGAUGAUUUUCCUUCACAAGCAUGUGCUGUUGUAAACAAAAUGAUAAACCAUGAGUGAUUUGAGAUGUAUAUGCUUGCUAAUGAGUAAUUUCUAUACAAAUAAUAAAGCAGUCUAAGCUAUGAAAAUUUGAUAUUAUAGAUUUGUAAUUUAUGCAUAGAUUUAUAUUUUUGAAACUUGAUUAUUUCUAGUGACAAUUCCAGUUAAUUGUAAUUUUAUAGAUUAGUAAUGUUUACAUGUAGAUAAGUGUACAGACAAGAGCUUCUAAAGUAAUUCUAAUAGCAAGCAUCUUGCUCCCAAGAAAAAAGUCUGAUUUAGCUUAUAAGCCCAGAAAAGGUUUUGCCCUGUUUGAUUAUAUUAAUUAUUUAUUGUUGCCCUUCAAACGUGUUUUGGAAAAUAACAGUAAAAUAGCGGAACUUAUUAAGUUAUUUGAUUUGUGGAAGUGAGAUUUUUGCGUUUGAACCGCAGUGGAUCAUAAAGUUGGAGGUGGACAUUCCGAUCCGGCCGCUAACAGCUCUUGUUAGUCUAACCAGACGCGCUCUUACUGGCUUAACUAACCAGACGCUCAAAACCAUGAGAUUUUUACUUGUAUGUUUUUCUCGUUCUCUCUUCUUCCUGUGAGAAUGCUGGUGAAAUGCGUUCCGAGCCAAAGAUUCCUAGCUUUCCUGAAGAGCCCAAGAGUCCCCAUUUUCUGCUCCACGAAUCAAAGAGGUGUGGUUUUGGUUUUUGGUGCUAAGUUCUCUCUUUUCACCCGUAUCUGGUCUCUAGGAACCAGAUACGCUGGAGAAGAUUCAUUUGAGUGCUUUGCUUCUGGUGUUACCCGGUUUACCAAUUUUGUUUCUCAAGCUAUACAACUCGACUUACGUUUUUCUUUGACAGGCUUCACGUCUCUGCCCAAGCCCUUGAGCGAGUUUAGCCGGGAUCUUGCGGAGGCAGUCAGGUGAAACGAUUUGUUGAGGACGACUGGAAGUUGAGCGGCUCUUUCUUUACGGAGACGAGGCAGCUGAGAAGCAUCGAGUUGUAAAAGACAGGGCUCCGUCAGAAGGCGCAAUUGCAAACUUCCGAGUCUUCAUCAUGGGUGCUUCUUUGGCAUUUGUAUGGAAACGGUAGCAUCGCUUCUUACGUUUCAACGGGACUGACUUUAUUGCUUUUUGAAAGCGCAGUCCGGCUUUACAAGAAACGAUGAGACUGCUCAAACUUGUCUUCGUCUUGUCUCGAGAGUCUGGCGUCCAAGGAAUUGGAUUUAGAAAAGAAGGUAAAACUCUUGCAUGGAGUAUAUCCGUGUCUACAAAUGUUAUCACUACAGGAAGGCGGGCCUAUGCACUCAGAAGCUCGUUCGAUAACACGGGCUAUCAAAAACAUAUCGGAACUCACUAUGUUCGACAUUUGGAUUCUGAUGCUCCAACUCCAGGUUGCAUCCCGAAGAUCAGGUACUACGCUCUUACGGGUCCUCUUCUUACGUGUAUCGUAUUUAUCGCAGAAACUGGAACAUAAUCUUUUAGAGAUGUGCGGAAUCUAGCUGGAAGAAACGCAAAGGCGCAGGACCUGUGUCCAACAGGGAUUGCUCUUCGUUGCUCAGGUACAUGAAACAAAUGUUUCUAGACAUCUUAAGCAAGCAGUGUUCUAAAACUUUCUUCGUUUUUCUUGUGAUACUAGAGGAGAGAAGCCAACUUCAAAACAAGAUAAAGCACUCGCGCUGCUCAAAUCCAAGCUCCUGGUGAUUCUCGAGCAAAAACCAGUUGCUUAUUUUCUUGAAUUAAUGACACAGCUAUCUUUCAUUAUCAGGCGUGGAGAGCUGGCUGCAUGACUGCUCAUUCAACGAGCGCGCUUUAGACGCUACAGAGCUUGAUGGAGGAAGGAGGAUAUAGAAGUGGGCUUGCUUUUGUGCUUCCGAGGUAUGGACUUGAACUUGUGUUUGUGUUUCCAAACAAGGUGUUCCAGAAAAUAGGGUCAAGUGAAGGGGAGAGAUACGAGAGUCCCGUUAAGGUACUUUGUGAUAAACUUUUGACUAGCUCGUGAUUUCUUUUUCUACAAAACAGAUACCUUGCAUGAUUGUAUCCAAGAAAGGGGAUGCCCGAGAAAAGCUGCUAGAGACUGUCAACGAGUUCCCUCCAACAAUGUUAAUACUGGGAAGCCGAGGCCUCGGAAUGGUGAAAAGGAUCGCCAAAAAGCUCUAGUUUCCAUUCCUUGUAGUUAGGAAAUCCAUAGCUAGAGAUGUUUUCUUGGAAAUUUUUUGUAUGGAUAAUGAUAGGAUGGGCUCUUUGUUUUCAAUCAAACCGUGGAUUUAGACAGGACGUUCCUGGGAAGCGUGAGUGGCUAUGCUGCACAGCACGCUGAAUGCCCUGUGCUUAUUGUCAAGCUUCCACCCGUAAGAUUUUAUGUGUUUCAAAUGCCUUUUUUCUCUUUUUCUUUUGAGGGACCUAUAAGCGGUGCGUUCUUCAGUCGGCACUUUCUUAAGUUUACCCUCAGAAAGAAAAUCGAUUCGCUUGUUCAGGACCAAAAUUCUCAACAAACUAUUGUUUGAAAAAAGCUCUAGAAACUGUUCAAGUGUCGCUUUGAGGAUCCGAAAACACAGAAUUGGUGCUAAUCGUUGGCACAAGUUUAGGCUUAUUCCUUCUUUUCCUUAAGUUGUAGUAUAGUGUGACGCGGACAACUGGGGUUCGAUCCCCUGCAACUGCGCUUGUCAGGAAAGUGUGAAUUAAAGAAGACGAUCGGGAACAUUGUAGCUCAAAGUGCUUAAUUCGUUCAAUUGCUCAUUGGAUUGCAAUAUAUCUUUUGUUCAUUAACACCACAACAGCAAUAUAGUCCACAACGCAGACCAUCCUAUUUCCCUAGACGUCUACACAAGGUAUGCAACCUGGCUCGCAUAAAGAAACUAUAGGAUGUCCACCAAUCACUUCACAUAUAUUGUUGUGAUCAUCCCCUGGGCGCCUGCAAACCUAUGAUUUGGAAAAGAAAACAAGGUGCUUCUAUGAACUACCUCAUUAUGGCUGAUCUUCCUUCACAAGAAUGUGCUGUUGCAGACAAAAUGAUAAACCAUAUUUGAGACAUAUAUGCUUGCUAAUGUACUCCAAUAAAAAUACUAACCAGCAUACAAUGUAAGAGAGUAAUAAUAACUCUAAUAAUAAUUGGAAAAACACAUUAGCAUAAUGAAACAGUCUAAGUUGAUAUUCCAACUCUAAACCCUAAACUCUCUCUCUCUCUCUCUCUCUCUCUCUCUCUCUCUCUCUCUCUCUCUCUCUCUCUCUCUCUCUCUCUCUUGUGUAUGACUGGCAAAGUCGUAAUGUCACCGCAGAAGUCUAUGCUGCUAUAUAUUAAAAAAUCCACACUCUCUGAAUACUCGCAUUAUCUGUGGUGGCACAUGAAUUCUAGUUUCAACCAGCCCAAAGUUCUCUUGAUCACUUUAAUAUUACAAACUUAAUUGGAAACAUUUGCUACUCUCCCACUGUUUCUUUUGUUCAUCAGAACUCGUCCUAACAUUUCCCCCACUAACACCACAACAACAAUAGAGUCCAUGACACACACCAUCCUAUUUCCCCACCUCCAGUCUGGAUAUAAAUGUUUACACACAAAAGUGAUAGGUAUGCAACUUGGCACACAAAGAGAACCUAUAGGAUAUGUACCAAUUACUUCACAUAUAACAUUGUCAUCUUCCCUCAGACAGUCGGCAAAUCCAUGAUUUGGAAAAAGCCAUCUUUUCCAACUAAUAAAACAGGGUGUUUCCAUGAACCAUCUCAUUACAGCUGAUGUUCCUGCACAAGAAUGUGCUAUUGCAGACAAAACUUGCCAAAUAAUAAACCAGGAGCGAUUAGAGACAUAUGUGCUGGCUAAUGCACUAGCUGCUCCAAUAAAAAUACUAACCAGCAUAGAGCACCUGUAGUGGAAGAGAGUAACGAUUCCAAUAAUAACUGUAAAAUCAGUUUAGCAAUAGCAUUUUAUACAACUGUUCUAAUAUUACCUCCAAUAAUAUAGCCUACUGAUAGAAAUAUAUAUACAUGACGAGUGAAGCAAACAAGUUGCCAAUAUCUUAUGGCAGAGUAUUUUGGCCCAAUUUUUGCAUAGGCCACGUAAUAUGAUGUAAAACCCCAAUGGUAGCUAGGGCUUAGUGCAUUGCAGUCUCUUUGACAAUAAAGAACACCAUUUGGGCAAUUCCACUUUGGAGGAUAAAAUGUGAUAUAGAUGGUGAAAACAUAAAAACUAAUUGCCCAAGUCAUAAUAAUUGAAACAGGUAAGAAGAACCACCACAAUGGAACACUCGUACUAGUAAUCUCCAUACCCAACCUAUCAAGCCCUAAUAUGUAAUCCUAUAAAUAACAAGAAAAGGAUGUGGAUGAUGAGGCUGAGAGCUAUUCGCUUUGAUCAUGGAUUCACCUCGAGUUUAUUGUGUUCCAUCAGGCACUUGUCAGUACGAGGUCAAUGGUGUUGGAAUCAAUGUGAGCGAGCCAGGUACUGCUUUGUACUUCCUCAAAGAGUAAAGGCAUAAACGUUUUGGCUUCUUUCUGCAGUCACACAUACAACACGGAUUUUCCGAAGCGGUUGGUCUCCAAGAUGUGAUGAUACUUGAAAGAGAACUUUGCUUUCCUGUACGUAGAGAUUGUGGAGGCUUUGUUAGAGGUGGUGAGCCAUCUUUGCAGGUCACUGGUUGACACUACCAGGAAAUGCUAGAGGAUGGAUGCAUCCUCCAGUCACCAUUUGAUGGAUGUUAGUGCAGGUAAAAGAAUUAUUGCUAGAAACUCUUAUAACUUUCUUGUGUCUUUGUUGAUAAUUCAGACACUGGACAUCUGCAUUUGCUGGAUACGAUUGCUUUGAGAAUUACUUGCGAGUGGAGACAUGUUAGUUGUUCUCUUAUUCUUGUUUGUCUUGCUAGCUCUCAGCUCAGACUUGCCUAAGAGCAUUGGCAUACAUGGAGCUCAAGCAUUUCGUCCUACAGUCUUGGCAUCAAAGGCUCGUCCAUGGGGCUUGUCAAGUCUUUGAUGUUUUUCUGCGCGGUUGGACACCUAAUAGUGCAGAAAGCUUCAUUGUACUUCGGAAUUGCUCGCAGCCGUGGCAUUGAAGACACCUCGUCUAGCCAGCUUUCAAUCACUUGCAUAGACAAAAAAACUAGAGUGCAUUUAGCAAGAAAAAAACAUACAAGAAGAGCUGCUUUCUAUCUUCUAUUUCUUGCGAAAGAAGGCAACGAAGAAAGCUACAUUUGCAAACCCAGUUGUAACGGCUCCCGUGAGAUGGGCGUAGUCCGUCUCCCAAUGGGAGAAAAUUCCCCACAGCAAAGCUGACACAAGAGAAAACAGUGAGAACCCGAAGUACAGAAAUGACCGUGGGAAACCAAGCCGAAGAACUCCACGCAGGCCAAGAGGAAAGGCUGAUGCUACGACGUAGAUUCCCGCUGUGACCCAGAUGCGUGGCGGCUGGUGCUGAAACGCGAGCGAAAACCCAGGAGACGCAAGACUGAGCACCAUCGAAGAACACAGUAUCGCGACUCCUCGUCCCCGUCCAGCAGGCAGCUUGGCAAUCACCGUAAGCAGCCCAAACACACAGAAGAAACCUGAGAAUGCAGCGACGAAGGCCGACAUGAUAGCCAAGUGGUGGUAGUCUAUGCGAUCCCUGUUCCACUUCUCCACCAUAGCAACCGCGUUGAGGGUGGAAAGUGCCAGGAGAGCCAAGAGAGGGGACAACGACCUCAGCAUAUCGUCACCUGAAGAUCCUCGAGCUUGAGCAUCACCUGCCUGGGCAUUGCCGCCAGUAGCAGCAAGUAGCACAGCACCAGCUCCCGCAAGUGGCACAGCAGCAGCCACACCAGGGUCUCCCUCAUGAGCCAUCACACCAGCAUCUCCCUCAGCAGGUGUGUCUCCCAUGGACACGCUAUCUCCUCCCUGAGCCGUCUCAACAAUCUUGUCUCCCGUGGCACAUCUCCCUCCGUCACAAUGAUCCCCGUGAAAUCUUCACCUGGAUGGACAUCUCCUUCACCCUCGCACUCGUCCUGUGCACCAGUGUCUCGCUCACCUGCAGCAGCGUUUCCCUCAGUUGGACCAGCAGCAGCGUCUUGCUCCGGCAUAUCCACAACGAUGUUGGUAGCGUCUCCCUCCGGCAUGGCAGCGGCGGCUCCCUCCAGCACAUUUGCAACACCAGCGUCUUCCUCCGGCAUGCCACCGGCGUCUCCCUCCAGCACAUUUGCAACGCCAGCGUCUCCCACAUCCACAAAGAUCCUAGUCGCCUCUUGGCCACCAAUUUGAGCCGCGCCAUCGCCCAGAACACCACCGCGCGCUGGAUCCACGCCCAGAACACCACCGCGCGCUGGAUCCACUCCAUGGCAAAACGCUGCUAGCGCUAUCGAAGCCACUAGAGAAGACAGCAUUGACAAAAAUCCUAGCCAGAAGAUUCGUGAUUUGGUGAUCUCCUCGGCAGGAAUCGCGUCUGUAGGAACCUUGUGUGCCUGAUGCUGGAACGGAUCCAAGAAUGCUGGCACUGGCGGUGUGGGGAAGUAUAUCUUGCUCCAGAGGAUCCAGACCACGAGCCCAAAUGCAAUCACGCCCACAGCUCCAAGCCGACCGCGUCUUGCUCCCCGCAGCUCCAGACCGCGUCUUGCUCCUCGCAGCUCCAUUAGGUCUUGGAGAAUGGCACAAGAUCUUCGCGUUUAAGAACACACACCCUCAUAUGUCCUAGAACCGACCAAGAUCUCAAAAAAGAAUAAGAGCGUCCUUCUUUGAUAUCUUGGAGUGGCUUCGUAGAAAAGAAUGUAGCUUUUUGCUCAGGCUUUCACAAAUCCAGUGGCUUUCUCCGGCCUCCAGCCUCCAUUCUGUGCACAUCUAUGAAGCUUGUGGAAAAUGUGACAAUACCUCUAGUUGCGCUGAAACAGUCCCUGCGAGCUCCCGACUGAACAGAUUGUCACGAAUCUGUACAAGGAAUUGUCAUGACACGCCUACCUGAAUGAUCGCAAUCGCACCAGAAGUUCUGGAACGCAGCAAGCUCUCUUCUAUUGCAGGAAAUGAUCUAAGAAGAAGAACAAGAUGCAAGAACAGUGCUGGGAUUAAAUAAGCACAAACUUUGAGGCAGCAGACUGACCAGAUCUCGAGAACCUUAAAAGAAAGCCUGAUAGUCCUCAGGCAGAAGUACAGUUUCGUAAGUCUACUACUUCUUUAAGCUCUGAAAGAUGUCCAGAAAGUAGUGACGUUAGUGACCAAGAACGACAAGGAAAUCAACAGCAGUAUUUCAUUAUCAACGAUAUACCUGUGUUUGUCAAGAGAGCACGCAACUGUAUCCGAAUCUGGUAGACCUGCUCGAGAAGUAAAGUCCAUUUAGUGCACAGAAUGUCCUGUCUGUAAGUUCCACUCUCUCUGUAUCUUCAGCUUUCAAUUAACGGAUGUUUUGAGUUCACGAGACUUCUCAAAGAAACUAGAAAAGCAUCACAUUACCAAAUAGCCGUAACGGACGUAGCAUGGCAUUCCUGAGGAAAACCAUCUCACUGAGGUUAGAUUGAUUUAGACAAACAAAGAUACUAUGUACCUGUCGUUCUGCCGUGCUCCAUCAUAUGCACGUAAAGAUCCGCACCAGCUAGAUUAGAGGCAUAAGGACGAGGAGCUCCAUGAGUAUUUCCGCGGUACUUUCCUGCAGGAAUGUGGAAAAAGCGCAUUCAGCCUCAUUAGCGCCUGGACCAAACUAUGUAGAUCAUGAAACAACACUUACACCAAAUUGCUUCCCAAACCUGAAAUACAUCCUGAGAAACAUACCUCUAGCUGACUGCCGCUAAACAGUCCCUGAAGAGCUCCCGACGCAACCAGUCAGGAUUAUCACUUGCUGUCAUUUCAAGACCGGAAGCCAGCCACGAAUCUGAAACGAAGCUCCAGAGCAAGAAAUUGCAAUUUAAACCUGACGCACCUCCAUGCAUCGUAGCACAAGUUCUGGAAAGCAGCAACGACGGCAAAUAAAUCACGAAUGGAGCAUCCCGGCGUACACCAUCCGAGUGAAUAGAAAACGCAUCCAUUCGAAAAACUUCAGGAUGAAAAUGUGGAAGUUCUCCUGCAACAAAAGGAAAAAGAGAAGAAAUUAAUCCUGAUGUCCAGGGCGAAAAGUAAACCUUCAAUGACAAAAAUCCACCAUCACUUGUUACAAGUGAUUCAAUGCCUUCCCCUUCAAGAGCCGCACAUUUGAGCUCUAUAUCCAGUAACAUAUUGUUCUGAGGAUUGACAGCCACAUUCACCUGUUUCACUCAAGUCGUAAGGUUACAAAAAACGCCAGAUAGAAGUUCUCUUUACCGUUAAGUUGCGUUGAAUGGAAGCCAACUCUCCCGAGCAAAAAUGCAAUGCGCUGUUCGGAGCAGUGCAAACUGUAGGAUCUGGAGCAAAUCAAGGAUCCGAUGAUCUCCAUAAAACGACAGUGGAAAAUAGUUCCACGGAUUGGAAGGCCUCAUCGUUGGUGAGAAGCCACUUUCAUUCGCUACCUGAAAACGAAAAUGUGAAAACAAAAUAGGAAGAAGCAAAAUAAGAUAGCUUACUGUGAAGAAAAGCAGUAGCUGUGUCAAGAGCUUGUUUUGCAGUAGCAAAGGACCUUGCUCUUUCUUCAGGUGAAAUGCAGUUCUCAAUUGUUGAUAGCCAGCUUCGAUAAUGUGCGUCACAAGAAACGUAUUCUUGCUGAAAAAACGAAGUCCCGGGAAAAAAAAAACAAAAAAAAAAAAACAGGCAGCAACGUUCUUUUUUUUAAUGGCUCUGCUUUUUCCUUCCGAAAUCUCAACACUGCACCAUAGCGGCGUUAGCGAGAUCUCUCGGAAAACCAAACGCUGUUGGAAUUCUGCCAUACAACGGGAGGCUGCCGCAGCUCCAUCAUAUCCACGUAAAGAUCUGAGAGGGAUGAGGGCCAACGAGCUCUUCCUUGUGUUGCGUGAAUACAAACCUCACGUACCUAAAAGAAUAACAUAAACAAUAAGUGGAAGUGAAAUCGAUCAUACGUGCUCAGGAUUCAAUCUCCAGCCAAUUCAAGCCUGUCCCCGUAUUGUCCUUCAAUCCUUCCGCAGAACCAGAUGUGCGGCGAAACGAAUCAUUUGAGGAUGCCUGUGUGGCCCUGAGAGAAACUCAGCUUAACGCACAAUGAUCAAAGCCUACGUACUUGACGUUAGAACUGUCGUCUACAUUUCCAGUACCGCUGCCAUAUCAGAGACCACGAGGUGCAUCUGUCCAACACAACAGCUGCGUCUCACAACCAGAUUCCCAAGUCAUGAUGAGACAAAAUGUGUACCCAGAGUAGAGCUUUUGAAACAAGUUGAUAAAAUCACAAGGCAACAGGCUCGGCACAAGUGGAAGAUAAAUCGAUCGCGCUUAAAAGAUGGCGGUGAGAAAGCUCUCCAUGACCUUACAAGAGCGAACACGUUGGCUUUUUUUCAGAUUAGAAUCACAGCACAAUACCUCGCAGUUGGCGUCAACACACGUGGUUUACAUUGCAGCAAAAACGGGACUCUCGUAUCUCCCCCCCUUCACUUGACGCUAUUUUCUGGAACACCUUGUUUGGAAACUCAAACACAAGUUCAAGCCCAUACCUCGGAAGCACAAAAGCAAGCCCAUUUCCGUAUCCUCCCUCCAUCAAGCCCUGUAGCGUCUAAAGGAAUGAGCAGUCAUGCAGCCAGCUCUCCACGCCUGAUAGUGCAAGAUAGCUGUGUCAUUAAUUCAAGAAAAUAAGAAACUGGUUUUUGCUCGAGAAUCACCAGGAGCUUGGAUUUGAGCAGCGCGAGUGCUUUAUCUUGUUUUGAAGUUGGCUUCUCUACUCUAGUAUCACAAGAAAAACAAAGAAAGUUUUAGAACACUGCUUGCUGAAGAAAUUCUAGAAACAUUUGUUUCAUGUACCUGAGCAACGAAGAGUAAUCCCUGUUGGACACAGGUCCUGCACUUCUGCGUUUCUUCCAGCUCGGAUGAGAUUCCGCACAUCUCUAAAAGAUUAUGUUCCAGUUUCUGCGACAAAUACGAUACACGUAAGAAGACCCGUAAGAGCGUAGUACCUGAUCUUCGGGAUGCAACCUGGAGUUGGAGCAUCAAGAUCCAAAUGUCGAACAUAGUGAGUUCCGAUAUUUUUUUUGAUAGCCCGUGUUAUCGCACGAGCCUAGCUUCUGAGGGUAUAGGCCCGCCUUCCUGUAGCGAUAACAUUUGUAGACACGAAUAUACUCCAUGCAAGAGUUUUACCUUUUUUUCUAAAUCCAAUUCCUUGGACGCCAAACUCUCGAGACAAGACAAAGACAAGUCUGAUCGUUUCCUGUAAACCCGGACUGCGCUUUCAAAAAACAAUAAAGUCAGUCCCACUGAAACGUAAUAAGCGAUGCUACCUUUUCCAUACAAAUGCCAAUGAAAAACCCAUGAUGAAGACUCGGAAGUUUGCAAUUGAGCCUUCUGACGUAGCCCUGUCUUUUACAGCUCGAUGGCUGCCUCGUCUCUGUAAAGAAAAAGCCGCUAAACUUCCAGUCGUCCUCAACAAAUCGUUUCAUUUCCGCUAGAUCCCGGCCAAACUCGCUCAAGAGCUCGGGCAGAGACGUGAUGCCUGUCAAAGAAAAACAUAAGCCGAGUUGUAUGGCUUGAGAAACAAAAGUGGUAAACCGGGUAGCCACGUACCCACGCCAGAAGCAAAGCGCUCAAAUGAAUCUUAUCUGGUUCCUAGAGACCAGAUACGGGUGAAAAGAGAGAACUUAGCACCAAAAACCAAAACCACACCUCUUUGAUUCGUGGAGCAGCAAAUGGGGACUCUUGGGCUCUUCAGAAAAGCUAGGAAUCUUUGGCUCGGGACGCAUUUCACCAGCAUUCUCACAGGAAGAAGAGAGAACGAGAAAAACAUACCUGUAUCGCCGGCAAUGCCACCAAAAACCCUCUUUACAAGUAAAAAUCUCAUGGUUUUGAGCGUCUGGUUAGUUAAGCCAGUAAGAGCGCGUCUGGUUAGGCUAACAAGAGCUGUUAGCGGCCGGAUCGGAAUGUCCACCUCCAACUUUACGAUCCACUGCCGUUCAAACGCACUUCCACAAAUCAAAUAAUUAAUAAGUUCCGCUAUUUUACUGUUAUUUUCCAAAAUACGUUUGAAGGGCAACAAUAAAUAAUUUAUAUAAUCAAACAGGGCAAAACAUCUUUUCUGGGCUUAUAAGCUAAAUCAAACUUUUUUCUUGGGAUUGGAACUCGGAGCAAGAUGCUUGCUAUUAAAAUUACUUUAGAAGCUCUUGUCUAUACACUUAUCUACAUGUAAGCAGCUAUAAAAUUACAAUUAACUGGAAUUGUCACUAGAAAUAAUCAAGUUUAUAAAUCUACGCAUAAAUUAUAAAUCUAUAAUAUCAAAUUUUCAUAGCUUAGACUGUUUUAUUAUUUGUAUAGAAAUUACUAAUGUGUUUUUCCAAUUAUUAUUGGAGUUAUUAACUGUAUGCUGGUUAGUAGAAUAGUUAGUACAUUAGCAAGCUUAUACAUCUCAAAUCACUCAUGGUUUAUCGGAUAUCCUAUGAUUUCUUUAUUCAAGCUAGGUUGCAUAUUUUGGAUGCCACAAUGGCAAAAAAUCAACUUUGAUAUUGUUUUUUGUUAAGUGUUACUAAAUUAGACUUCACAUACUGCACAAGCAUAAAAAAGGAAUAAAUGUCUAUUUAACUCAACAUACUUGGCUUAGUUUGCAAGAAUCCGAAGGAAAGCUCCAGCUACUUGCGAGCAUGGGAUGGGGAGAUGUGAGCGUGAGAACGGUGAGGAAGGACUGCACAGAGAUAAAGACAGUAAUAUAUCCUCCGUACUCUUUCCCUCUGUUCCCACGUCCAUAGUGGAUGCAGUUUUAAAAGCAUCUUUAUACAAAGUUCACAUGAAUUUCCCCUAAACAUCGAAGUUUGCCCUGAAGAACUUAGCUUCCAGGAAAUAUGGAGUCAAGAUUUAUUUAUUUUUUCUUCCUUGUUUUUCUUGAGGACCGAGCUAAUGAUAUUUUGAAAAACUCGAUCAGUUUUUGUUCCUCAUUCGUUUGCUUUUCUUCAUGCAGACGUUCCAAAGUUCUCACAAUCGAUCUUCAACACUAACCCAUGGUAAAUGUCGAUGUUAAAGGGAAAUUCAGCUUUAGGUAGCUGUUUGUGAACUUGAACACGUAUGGACAGGGGAACAGAGGGAAAGAGUACGGAGGAUAUAUUACUGUCUUUCUCAUCUUAUCUCCCUGCAGUCCUUCCUCCCCGCUCUCAGGCUCACAUCUCCCCAUCUCAUGCUCGGCGAGUAGCUGGAGCUUUCCUUCGGAUCUCUUUUCCCUAUCCCUUGCUCGAUAACAGUGGUAUCGUAGCCACUUCGUCUGGGACACACGCUCGAGCGUCGUGAAGGAGACCAGUCGUUGGAGGUCGGCUAUCAGGUAAAGCGGCCGGAAUGUUUCGUUUCACUUUCACAGUUUUUGUUGACCGAUCUUCUCUGGACUGGUCGUGCAUAAAGGGAGGUAUUCAUAUACCCUUGUUCUUCCUUGGUGUGAGGCGGGCAAUGGCGGCACCAUAGAGGCGGCCGAAGGCGGCGAUUUCAGGGGAUUUACCAAGGUUUAGUCUUGAUGUUUUCGCAAGAUGAUAAGGUGCAUAUCCGAUCGGCAGGAAGAUCUGGACGACAGCUUGCGGGUCUUAGGAGCUGCAGUGACCAGGCCGAUGGGGGACUCCGGAAAGAGGAGGGCCGACCUUUCGAGUUCCAAGUACCACCAUUCAGCGGGAGCACGGUAGGGGAGUAAGCCUUCACUUUUGGGACAACAGCUUCAGAGUUUCCCAUUCCAAUGCGCGGGGGAGCAGUUCUCCAACAGGUCGACGGUCAGCGAGCCGAUACAAAGUAAUCCUCUGUAUCGUUUAGCACCCAUGCAGACUCGGGGAUUCUUCACAGCGGCGCCAGCUUUCAGCGGGAUAAGGGCCGGUUCAAGAGCGAGAGUUUCCGUGUAAUGGUCCUUCCCGGAGAGGCAGAGUGGGCAGGACAACAGGUGGGGCGGGUGGGGGGAAUCCAUUCCAAUCCACGAGAACUAGUAGGGAGUCUGGGAGUCAUGGCUGCGCAAGUUGAAGAGGUGGUUUCUUUGCCGUGGUCAUCGCGAUUCGCACAAGGUAGCCGGCUCUCCACUUGAAAGCCUGGCCUCCGAGUCCCUUCUUGCUCGAGACUGUAAAACCAGGCUUCCAAGUUGGGAGGAGUUCAAGCAAAGGAUUCGGGAGCAUUUUAUCAUCACGUCCGUGGGAGAGCUUCCCUUCAACAAACUCUGCGGAAUGGUGUACAGAUUUAAGUCCCAGACGCCCAGGAAUUCAACGAGACGUGGAACAUCCCGGAGGAUGCUUUGAUGCAACGUUACCUAGCAUCGCAAUGGCAACCGAAAUAGCUCAGCUAUCUCCUCGCUCGGUCCCGAUGGCAUUAGCAUUAAACACGGAUCUCAAGUUCCACGAGUGGGAAGCUCGUCUUUCCGGCCGAUGGAGGCAAGGGCCACCAAAGGAGACAACGAGGGCCGGAGCCACCCAGAGUGGUAUGCCAACUCCCGAUCAGCGGAAGCAAUGCAAGUAAAGGGAAGCGAUGACCUCAAGCUUGGGAAAUGUUCAUUGGGAAGUUUGCAAGGCGCGUAGAGGACAACCGACGUCGAAAACAAAGUUCGUGGUGAUGCAAUUCCACGUCUCGGACAAGGGGGACCUCAUUCCGUGCACUUGGGAGAAUGCAAAAGAUGACAAGGAUUGUUAGUCCUGUAGACGGAUGUACCACAUUGGCCUCAGGAGCAGCGAGAAGAGGAGGACGCGGGGCUUGAGGGAGAACUUUCUGUGGCGAAGGCAUGCAUCUCCUAUCCGACCUUUAUGGGAAAAGCUGCGGGUACUUGUUUCGGAGACAAAGGAACGAUUUUUGCAUUAAUUGACUCGGGAGUGACACCGUCAACCAACAUUCUCUAUCUAAGCUGCAGCUUGCAGCGCGUCCACAGAAGACUCCUCUAGAGGUGGAGAUAGCGGACGAGGGAGUCAUCGAGGCGUCUGCCCGGGUCUCAUGCUCGAUGCUCAUUGGUGGUCACCAAGUGAAAGGAGAGUUCUUCAUCCUGGAGACGGGAGCGAUGGACGUAGUACUCGGCAUCGAAACACUUCGCCUCUUUGGGGACAUUCUCGUCAACUUUGAUGAGCAUCGUCUCUCCUUCAAUCGGCUGCAAGGUCCAACCAGGAGGAUCAGUGCAUUUGGUUAACUGAAUGCUUGUACCAAGUUCCGACAUCUCCAGAACCAGUCACAGGGGAGGGGGAGCCAGAGAGAACCAGGUCGUUGGAGGAAGCAGUACACCACGGAAGCCAUUCGUGAGGUUGCAAGGAAGCAUUCAAGGGUCUUCCUCAAUCGAGUAUGUGCUCAUGAAGCAAUCACGCACAAGAUCCAACUCGAGAAAGGGAUCGUCACGACUGUUCAUUCAGCUGAGGCAUGUGGAGCGAGCGGAGGUGGAUAAGAUGAUCAAGGAGCUCAUGGACAAUCUCUUAAAGAGGACAGUUUCAGUCCUUACACGGCACCAAUAAUCUUGGUGCUAAAACGUGACUGCUCGUGGAGACUGUGCGCUGAUUACAGACAGCUCAACAACGUCACUCCCCAUCCCACGGAUUGAGGACUUAAUUGAUGAACUCGGUGAAGCAGCGUAUUUCUCCGAGCUAGAUUUGCGAUCUGCAUAUUAUCAAAUAUCCAUGGCAGAGAAGGACAGGAUCACGACAGCAUUUCAGACUCACAGAGGGUUUAACCAGUUUAAGGUGAGGGCUCACCAUCCUGGCCACCUUUCAGUCUCUCAUGAACAAGAUCGGUCAUUGUAUUUUUCGACGACAUCCUCGUCUACAGUCGAUCCUGGGAAGAACACCUUACACACAUCGACGAGGUUUUGCAAGUGCUAGAGGAUCAUGCGCUGAUCGUCAAACUCUCAACAUGCUGCUUUGCCAAGCAAGAAGCGAAGUACUUAGGCUUCCGGAUACGAGCGGGCCAAAUGUGAGCCUAUCCAACAAAAAUGGAGGCGAUGAGAGGUCUCUCACCACCAUGAAGUAGCUCCAUGCUUUUCUCAGGCUCUGCAACUACCUCUGGAAGUCUGUGGAGCACUAUGCUUCCGUUGCGUCGCCUCUGACGGACAUCAUUCGUGCAGGCAGGUUUUCGUGGGACGAGAACGCACAGUCAACGUUCGAACUUUUCGGCUCGGAUUCUUCAACUUCCAGAUGAGAAGCAGUUCAUCGUGGAGACGAUGCCUCGGAUGCAGGAGUGGGAGCGAUCUUGAAGUUCGAGAGCAAAAGAUUCUUGGAAGUGGAGUCUCGCCAGCCGGCGUAUGAUUGACAAAGUGGAGGCACUGCGAGGUCGCACGGAUCACUUCAGUAUGAAAUUUCUACUCGAGCAGCCUCGCCUUAACAAAAAGCAGAGGCAGCUUCAAUCACUCGAUUUCACGAUUGAGUAUAAGCCAGGGAAAACAAACGUCGUCCCGGAUGCGCUCUCAAGGAUGUUUGAAAAGCCGGAGGUCAGUUGUCACACCAGAUAUCAUAGAGGGCUAAUCCAACGAUGACCACUCGAAGGAGACAACAACUUCAGCGACGCGAAGAUUUCCUUCCAUGAUGGCUUGCUCUAGAAGAAAGGAAGGAUUCUACUCGAGUUCCGCAAGAUCAUCUUCACCAAGGCAUUUUCGCGGGGCAUCCGGGGGUCGUGUGGAAAGGAAUGGAGUGUGAGAUUACGCACUUGGAUCAGGGAGUGUCCAGAGAUUGGUCUUCUCAAGCAUUUACCUUCUCCAUCAGCGCCAGCUCUCGUCCUCAAGCUUCAAAGAAGGUGGCAGAGAUCUUCUGGAGGGAGGUGGUGAGGUUCCAUGGCGUUUCCAAGCGAAAUCGUCUCCAACCGAGACACCAGGUUUCUCAGCCAGUUUUGGUCAGACGGGACGGACGAUUGGAGACAUUCUGAGGGAUACGUGGCGGACCAGCUGGGCUCAUGGACAAAGUGGAUCACAUUCGCGGAGUUUGCCUACAACACUGCUCGGCACUCAACCAUCGGUAUGUCUNNNNNNNNNNNNNNNNNNNNNNNNNNNNNNNNNNNNNNNNNNNNNNNNNNNNNNNNNNNNNNNNNNNNNNNNNNNNNNNNNNNNNNNNNNNNNNNNNNNNAGUAGCUUCCCCGAUCUUGAUGACAACUCCCACUUCAUCAAACGACGUCAGUGACCAAGUGGAAGCCAUCAGGUAGAUGCAGCAGCUGAUUGGGCAACGGUUGGAAUCUCCUCGUGUAGUCACAGCUCCAUCCCAGAUUCUUCGGCCCACUCAGGAUACUCGAAAAGAUCAACGAACUCGCCUAUAAGUUGGCAUUACCACCGGGGUCGCACCUACAUAACGUUUUCGACGUGUCGGAUCUCAAGCUUUUGUGGACCAGCUCCCGGAGUUUUUUCCUGAGCCGGAGUUUGUCUCCUCCGACAGGCAGCCUAUGCUGCAACCGAAAGCACACUGGGAGAUACAAGGUCAGGUGGCACGGAACGGAUGACGAACAGGAACGGACCAGAGCUCCUCGAAACAGACCUGUUAGGACGUACUAUAAGCGCAUGAGAGUACGGAGGAUUUGUUACCAUCUUCCUCACAACAUUGCAGAUCAACUUCAAGCAAGUGAUGAGGUUGAUCACUUACAAGUUUUCCGUCAGUUUACUUUGGAUAUUCUCCUACUCUAAAUCUCCAGCGCCAUGGAUGCUUGCAUCGCGACUGGGAAUCCCGCGGUAUUCAGCAAAUCCUCACGUCCCGCUCUACUCUCGGUGAGCUGGCAUUCUUCUGAUUGAGCAAUAUUUCUCCACAGAGGCUGUGAAUUUCUGGAUGGCGAAUUCAGCUGUGUGGGACGACGAUGCCGUGCCAGCUGCUCACGAUAUCGCCAGGUUUUGGUGUGCGGGAUCCUCGUCUUUGAUUUCACUCAGAAGAUUUUCCUUGCUUCCAAGCCGGAGCAUUGUUUCUACAAGAAUCUAUUCAAUGACAGCAGCUGAAAGACACUGUCCGGUGAGUGUUUCCACGUUCUCUUGACAUCGAUUUUGCUUCAAUCGUUGUGGAAGUAAGUUCCAUCGAAUACCCCUGGUAAAGGGAUUCUUGUGCUUAAAUUCCUUUCUUUUUGCAUAGGAUCUAUUAGGGCUUGAAAGGUUGGGUAUGGAAAUUACUAGUAAGAGCGUUCCAUUGUGGUGGUUCUUCUUAUCUGUUUCAAUAAUUAUGACUUGGGCCAUUACUUUCUAUGUUUUCACCAUUUACAUCACUUUUUAUCCUCCAAAGUGGCACUGCCCAAGUGUAUUGUCAAAGAGACUGCAAUGCACUAAACCUUGGCUACCAUUGGGGUUUUACGUCAGAUUACUUGGCUUAUGUAACAAUUGGGCCAAAGUACUCUGCGAUUUGAUAUUGGCAGCUUGUUUGCUUCACUCACCACAUAUAUACUUUUUUGGUUGAUGCAAAGAUUUGCAGUACUGUCAGAGUGCGAGGGGGCCAUGGGGAAAAUCCUUGCCACUUCUUCGAGUGAGCCUGAUAUUAUUGUAGUUUAAAACACAAAUAAGGUGGCCAAAUGCCACUGCGUUGGCGAGCCCUGUCUGAGUCUUCCAGGAAUCCAUUCUGGGCGUAGCACAGCAGUAGAUUCGUCCAUGAUACGAGAUCCUUGGCCGGCAUUCUCCCUGGUGCGCGAGCUCCGUGAUCAUCGAGUUCCGUGUCACUCUGAGACGCGAUCGAACAUAGCCUGGCAGUCGCGGAUCCGGGAGGCUGCCACAUAUACGAGACAAGAUCGCGGAAAUCCAUCCCAUCAAACGUGUUCUUGGCAAGCGCAAGAUGCCCGGACUGAGCAUACAGUGUAAUGAGCGAGUUCCAAGAGACCACGGUGAUCCGGCAUGGAAACGAAGAUCUUCUUCGCUUGGCCGAGAUUGGAGCUCCGGAUGUAGAAUUGCACGACCUCGUUGCACGACACGAGAUGUCGCGAUGGGGCAUUCGAUCGAAGAGCCGGGAUGAUCUAAGACCUCGGCGGCAUUGGAGGGAUUUCGGCGAUCCAUCUCUUGUAUUCCACCAAUCCGCCGAUGAGAGAGGGCAGGCAGGCACGAAGACAUCGUCUCGAGCAAACUCUCGGCCUUCCGAUCUCGCGAGAGUAGUGAUCCCAUUGGAACGAUGCCAUAGUCAGCGAUCAUAGGCGACCAUAGACACGAACUGAUCGCGGGCGAUUAGGAUCUUGCAAGCCGAGAGGACGGUGAUGAACGAGACGAGGUCGAUCCUCACUCCGCCAUCGAGCGUGGUCGUGGAUGGCUUCCCUGUAAUGCCCUUUUUGGGCAUAUGUUUCCAUCAUCAAGUUCCAGGCAGCAAGAUCUCUCGUGCGCAUUGAGGCAAGAACAACUCGAGCCUCGAUCACACGGCCAUUGCGAGCGUAAGCGUGCAUCAAACUCGUCCUGCACUGGCAAUUCACUAUCUCGCCCGGGAUGCUGUCAAACGACAUUCCGAGAGGAUCGCGUUCCAGGUGAAAACAUUCCAUCUCGGCAUUUUGUGCUGGAUCAUGAGCGCGUCCUCCAUUCUCCCAGCCUGGCCGAGCAUCGAGACGAGCAUAUCAAGUCCCUUGCGGGCAUUUGCUGGUGGAUCCCCCUGGACAUAGGCGGCGGCAACGAUGUUUCUGUGGCACGCUCUGUCAGCCCAUUCCAGGACACGAGAGUCCGGAAUCCGGAAAAACAUCCUCUUGACCUCUUCUACAAGGCAUAGCCAAGUUCCUCGUCGCCAUCGUCUCAAACCUCCACCAAAUUCCCGAUUUGCACGAAAGCUCCGACAGCACGAGAUCUUUCUCGGGCUCAGUGUCGUAAAAAGCCUUAGUUAUACCCAUUUGCCUCAUCUUGGCAAAUGCUGGGAUUACAGCUAGGCAUUAGAAAUUUACAAAGGCUUCAAUGAAAAGAAUACAAUAAAUUCCUUUUAGCAUAUGCCCUGCUUGGCAUAUCCUCUGGUCCAAUACUCAUCCUCAGUGCAUCAAUGAGCGAGAUUAUGGAUACAACAUAUGUUACUAACACUUGGUUUUUAACCAAAGCUGCUGAAUUAAAAAAUUACUAGAGCAUCAGAACAUUUUUGUAUAUCAAAUAUGGAAUUAUAUACUCUUCCAUUAUUAACUAUAACCAUUCCCACCGGAUCAAGGGUAAAAAGUAAAUAUACCUGAUAUGAAACAUAUGGUAUAGAUUCGUCUCCAGUGCAUUCCUGUAUCCCUAUCCACCACCUCAUAAUUUGAUGAUGUCUCUGCAUAUGCAUGUGCUACUUGUAAAGCAAUGAAUGUAAAACAUAUGUGAGCUCCUCCAAUAGCAAAGCUAACUAGCAUAGACAACUGAAACAAACUGUUAAGCAAUUAUCCAUAAAUAAAUCUAGCUUACCUCCAGCCACAUAGCCCAGUGAUAGCAAAGUAUAUAGAUACGGAGUGAAGCAAGGAAGUUGUGCAGAAUAAUUUAGCCCAAACUUCCCAGUUCGAAUGUAGCAUGCAUAGAAACCCCAGUGGUAUUUAGGUGCCUCUUUAAAGGGCUAUAAUUUAAAUACACUAGUGUUUGGUUUUCUUUCAUCUUAGAACAAAUAGCUUUUCAGAAAAGAUCUCGGAGACAGUGAAGGCUGUUUUCGUUCUCGAAUCCAUAUAGCUAGAAACGCAAUAGCGACCACAAAUCUUUUAGUGAUAUUUAAGCACGAACUUUUUGUAAUGGUCGGCAAGCAGCUCGCGCGCAGACUGCACACAUCGCCUCUCAAAUUAUGUAUAUAUCCUUUUUCCAAUCUAGCUUUAUUUGUGGAGAUCUUGGCCGUUUUCGAUCUAGUAGCUACGUCUUGGAGCAGCUCAAGAGCCGGGAGCUUGAGCUGCACAGGAAGUGUUCCUGCCAUUUUUCCUUCCAUUCCUUUGAGUUUUGUUAUACCAUAAGGAAGGGAGCUGAAGCUCUAAAGGUGAGGCUUUCGCUUCUCCUUUUUUCUGAUCAUUGUUUCUGCAUGUGAUGGAAUCGGUUAGCAUCUCUCACGGUUAUAGAUACCACCAUCUUGGAUACAGACUUGAUAGCCGAGUGGCAAUCCCCACACACAUGAAAGAUCUCCUUCGUGUCGGGAACGUAGCCAGCGUGCCACAUUUCUCUCGCCAGCCUCUGGAGAUCCGCGACGAUAUCUUCGCUGUGACGAUGCGAAAGAUCCCCCACCACGAAACUGUGAACUUCGCUGCCAAACUUGAUCCCCGGAACUUUUCUCACUCGCCUCGACUUCAUCAGGUUCCGGAUCAUCGACACCUUGUCCCUCCUCCAGAUCGACGAGUACAUGUUCCAGAGAACCACGUAUGCAGUCGUGUAGCGUCGAAGAUCUUCGCCGUGACUUGCUCAGCUCAAUCGGCUUCGCGGUGGAUCAGGCGACAAGCUCCCAGCAGCGACAUCCAGAUCACGAUGUCUGGAAGGAAUGGCAUCGAGUUGAUGACGGUGCUCAGAGUUCUUCAUGCAGAAAUAGCGCUCUCUCCUCGGCACCAUCCCCAAGCAGACGAAGUGGUCCCAGCCCUCGGCCACGAGACCGAGAUUCAUAAGAUGGAAGACUUCCCCGUUUCGAGCAUAAGCCCACACCAAGGUCAUCUAGGAAACGAAGCUGCGCAUCUUCAUGCUCUCAAUCAUGCUCCUGGCGGCGCCGAGAUCGCUCAAAAACUUGCAGCAGACGAUGGUCUUGCCUGGAAGAACCUCACGGCCCCGCCAAAGUGCCCACUCUCGGCAUACGCGAGGAGCAUCACGCUCCACCAGACUGGAUUCUUUUCCGGGAUUUGAACGAAGAUUUUCUUCGCGAGGGCGACAAAGCCUUGGUAAGCUAAGCUUGCACAAUUGCCGUCCACGCCACCACGUCCUUAUCCGGCAUGGAAUCAAAGACCUCUCUCGCGUUGGCAAAAUCCCUUCUUUGGGCAUUCUCGUAGUUCUCCGGAGCCGAUGGAACACCCUGUCCAAUUCUUCCAGGAAUCAUUCUGCGGAUAGCACAGCAGUAGAUUCGUCCACGACAUGGCCGGCAUUCUAUCAAAACUCGAUUUUGCUGCCUCGAUUUUCCCCUGCGCGAGUGCUGUGAUCAUAGCUCUGGAACACGAUCGAUCACCGCCGGGCAGUCCCGGAUCUGGAUGCCGGCACAUAUCCAGCGAUCAUCGGGUUCCACGAGACAAGAUCACGAAACUCCAUCCCGUCAAAAGUGUCUUGGCAAGCUCAAGUUGCCCGAACUGGGGAUACAGUGUAAUGAGCAAGUUCUAAGAUGCCACGUCAUGAUCCGCCAUGGAAUCGAAGAUAUUCUUCUCCUGGUCGAGAUUGGAGCUCCGGAUAUAGGACCUCACGAUCACUUUGCAGAACAAGAGAUUCCAGUGGGGCAUUCGAUCAAAGAGGCUCUUGGAUCGCGCAAUAUUCCCCUCCCUGGCACAUUCGAUCGAAGAGCCGGGAUGCGAUCGAAGAGCUCGGCGGCAUUGAAGGUGUUCCCAGGAGUAUUUCGGUGAUCAAGAGAGAUCGCGCAUCCGCAGCGCUGCCGCAGCGCCCAUACAACUGGAUGAGGAGAUUGGCGAAGAAAAUAUCCUUGCCACGGCCAGCAGCCCUCACGAGAUCGGCCAGGAAAUGCCGCUCCUCUAGCCCUGCGAUCGCAGCAGUCAUUCGCCCCGACAUUGCUCUCGUUUUGGUUCUCGUGAUCAUAGGCGACCAUUGAUCGCGGGCGAUUUGGAUCUUCCCCAAAUGGCUGCAAGCCGAGAGGAUGGUGAUGAACGACACAAGAUCGAUCCUCACUCCACCGUCGGGCGUGGCCUCGUGGAAGAGUUGGAUGGCUUGCUCAGUUUGGGCAUAUGCUUCCAUCAUCAAGUUCCAGGCCGCAAGAUGCGAUCGUUUGACAGCAUCCCGGAAGAGAUCGUGAAUUGCUGCUGGACGAGUUUGAUUCACGCUUACGCUCACGAUGGCCGCGUGAUCGAGGCUAGAACUGUGCUCGCCGCAAUGCCCACGAGAGUAGAGGAUCGCGUAACGUUCCAUCUCGGCAUUUGGUGCUGGAUCUUGAGGGCGUCCUCCAUUCUCCCGGCCUGGCCGAGCAUUGCGACAAGCAUAUCAAGUCCCUUGUGGGCAUUUGGUGGUGGAUCGCCAUCGACAUGCCCGUGCUGGGCAUAGGCGGCAGCGAUUGCUGUAGGCAACUGUGGCAUUCGAUCAAACAGCAGCUUCGGUCUGUCCAGGAUGCCGUUUUCCAUCAGCCCAUUCCAAGACACGAGAUUCUGCUGGGCCAUCCGGGAAAACAUCCUCUCGGCCUCUUCUACAAGGCAUAGCCCGACACUAUUGUUGUCCACGAAACCAAGUCCCUCGUCACCAUUGUCUCAAACACACCUCGAGCCUAAUUCCCGAUGUGCAUGAAAGCUCUCACCAAUGAAGUUGAUAGUAUUGAGGUUAGUGAGAUCCAGGUGGCCUUGCCAGGUUACUGGAGGAUUUUUGAGUCAUGAUUCUUGGUUUAUCAAAUAUAAAUCCAUUGUUUCUUUUCAUGGUAUCAUAUCUUGGGACGAUGGCUCUCAUUAGUGAGGCGGAGGAUGAGCCACCUUAAUCAGAAGUGGAUGGCACUUGUUGGCUGACAAGAAGGUGAGCCACAAGAUCAUGGUUGCUGCACUAGAGCCCAGAUCAGGGCAGAGGCACUGGGUGCUGACUGAGACAGACAAGUGUUGCUAGAGGAGGUGAUGCCAGGGAGCAAGCUGUGUGCUGUGUGUGGUGUGGAGUACAAGUUGUGCUCUAGAUGCUGCCAGUAGAGGUGUUGGACAGUGCUGGACGUGCUGUCUAGAGGCGCUGGGAAGAGCCGCUGCUGAGGCGACACAUGAUGGGUGCUUUGAAAGGCACUGGAUGGAGGAUCCAGAGGAGGAGCAGUUUCAGUAAAAAUUCAACGUAAACCAUCAAUAUGUUCACCUGAGAGCAAUAGUGUUGUUGGUCAAUCCCAUACAUGUAUUGAAGUAGGGAUGAUGAGAGAAGAGCAGGCUCAUUUUAGGGCAAACGUGGCCUAGAUGAAAUGCAAUUUGUAUGGAUCAUAGUGGCACGAUCCAGGGCCUCAAUACAACGCAGGUCACCUUGAGAGAGCAGUUGAGGAUGAGAGGGAGACCUAGAUACUCAAAAGGAAUAUAAGAGGGAGACUUCCAAUGGACACCUGGUGUCUCGGUUGGAGACGAUUUCGCUUGGAACGCCAUGGAACCUCACCACCUCCCUCCAGAAGAUCUCUACCACCUUCUUUGAAGCUGAGGACGAGAGCUGGCGCUGAUGGAGAAGGUAAAUGCUUGAGAAGACCAGGUGUUGCGACUAUCUCUGGACACUCCCUGAUCCAAGUGCGUAUCUCACACUCCAUUCCUUUCCACACGACCCCCGGAUGCCCCGCGAGAAUGCCUUGGUGAAGAUGAUCUUGCAGAAUCCUUCCUUUCUUCUAGAGCAAGCCGUCAUGGAAGGAAAUCUUCGCGUCGUUGAAGUUGUUGUCUCCUUCGAGUGGUCAUCGUUGGAUUAGCCCUCUAUGAUUUCUGGUGUGACAACUGACCUCCGGCUUUUCAAACAUCCUUGAGAGCGCAUCAGGGACGACGUUUGUUUUCCCUGGCUUAUACUCAAUCGUGAAAUCGAUUGAUUGAAGCUGCCUCUGCUUUUUGUUAAGGCGAGGCUGCUCGAGAAGAAAUUUCAUACUGAAGUGAUCCGUGCGACCUCGCAGUGCCUCCACUUUGUCAAUCAUACGCCGGCUGGCGAGACUCCACUUCCAAGAAUCUUUUGCUCUCGAACUUCAAGAUCGCUCCCACUCCUGCAUCCGAGGCAUCGUCUCCACGAUGAACUGCUUCUCAAAGUCUGGAAGUUGAAGAAUCGGAGCCGAAAAGUUCGAACGUUGACUGUGCGUUCUCGUCCCACGAAAACCUGCCUACACGAAUGAUGUCCGUCAGAGGCGACGCAACGGAAGCAUAGUGCUCCACAGACUUCCAGAGGUAGUUACAGAGCCUGAGAAAAGCAUGGAGCUACUUCAUGCUGGUGAGAGACCUCUCGUCGCCUCCAUUUUUGUUGGAUCGGCUCACAUUUGGCCCGCUCGUAUCUGGAAGCCUAAGUACUUUGCUUCUUGCUUGGCAAAGCAGCAUGUUGAGAGUUUGACGAUCAGCGCAUGAUCCUCUAGCACUUGCAAAACCUCGUCGAUGUGUAUAAGGUGUUCUUCCCAGGAUCGACUGUAGACGAGGAUGUCGUCGAAAAAUACAAUGACCGAUCUUGUUCAUGAGAGACUGAAAGGUGGCCAGGAUGGUGAGCCCUCACCUUAAACUGGUAAAACCCCUCUCUGAGUCUGAAAUGCUGUCUUCAUCCUGUCCUUCUCUGCCAUGGAUAUUUGAUAAUAUGCAGAUCGCAAAUCUAGCUCGGAGAAAUAGCUGCUUCACCGAGUCCAUCAAUUAAGUUGGGAUGGAGAGUGACGUUGUUGAGCUGUCUGUAAUCAACGCCCAGUCUCCACGAGCCGUCACGUUUUAGCACCAAGAUUAUUGGUGCCGUGUAAGGACUGAAACUGUCCUCUUUAAGAGGUUGUCCAUGAGCUCCUUGAUCAUCUUAUCCACCUCGCUCUACAUGGCUCAGCUGAAUGAAAGUCGUGACGAUCCCUUUCUCGAGUUGGAUCUUGUGCGUGAUUGCUUCAUGAGCACAAACUCGGUUGAGGAAGACCCACUUCCUUGCCACCUCACGAAUGGCUUCCGUGGUGUACUGCUUCUUCCAACGACCUGGUUCUCUCUGGUUCCCGUGACUGGAGAAGUCGGAACUUGGUACAUGGUUGGACCUUGCAGCUAGGCCUGAGAAAGCUGAAGAUGUCGUUUCGAAAGGAUCUCUUCUGGUUCCCAUCCAUUGGAAGAAGAAUCCCUGUUUCUGAAUCAUACGCCAUGGGACAUCCUCCUCUCGCGAUCAACCCCCGGCAUUGUCCAGCGGUUGCCCGUGUCUUCUUUCCAAUGUCCACUCCCCCCUCCAGACGAUCUUGCUCCCCUGGUGAUUGAAGGAGAGACGAUGGUCAUCAAAGUUGACGAGAAUGUCCCCAAAGAGGCGAAGUGUUUCGAUGCCCAGGAUGAAGAACUCUCCUUUCACUUGGUGACCACCAAUGAGCAUCGAGAAUGAGACCCGGGCAGACGCCUCGAUGACUCCCUUGUCCGCUAUCGACACCUCUAGAGGAGUCUUCUGUGGACGCGCUGCGAGCUGCAGCUUAGAUAGAGAAUGUUGGUUGACGGUGUCACUCCCGAGUCAAUUAAUGCGAAUGCUUCCUGCUAAUCGUUCCUUUGACUCGGAAACAAGUACCCGCAGCUUUUCCCAUAAAGGCCGGAUAGGAGAUGCAUGGCUUCGCCACAGAAAGUUCUCCCUCAAGCCCCGCGUCUACCUCUUCUCGCUGCUCCGGAGGCCAAUGUGGUACAUCGGUCUCUUGUCCGAGACCUGGAAUUGCAUCACCACGAACUUUGUUUUCGACGUCAGUUGUCCUCUAUGCGCCUUGCAAACUUCCCAAUGAACAUUUCCCAAGCUUGAGGUCAUCGCUUCCCUUUACUUGCAUUGUUUCCGCUGAUCGGGGGUUGGCAUACCACUCUGGGGUGGCUCCGGCCCUCGUUGUCUCCUUUGGUGGCCCUUGCCUCCAUCGGCCGGAAAGACGAGCUUCCCACUCGUGGAACUUGAGAUCCGUGUUUAAUGCUAAUGCCAUCGCUUGCUGGACCGAGCGAGGAGAUAGCUGAGCUAUUUCGGUUGCCAUUGCGAUGCUAGGUAACGUUGCAUCAAAGCAUCCUCCGGGAUGUUGGUCACCUCGUAUCUCGCCUUAAGCCACGUCUCGUUGAAUUCCUGAGCGUCUGGGACUUAAAUCUGUACACCAUUCCGCAGAGUUUGUUGAAGGGAAGCUCUCCCACGGACUUGAUGAUAAUGCUCCCGAAUCCUUUGCUUGAACUCCUCCCAACUGGAAGCCUGGUUUUACAGUCUCGAUCGAGAUGGGACUCGGUCUUGUCAUCAUAGCUCAGCUACAUAGAAAAUAUUUAGUUUACCAGCAUAACAAAGAAAAGAAAAGAGAACUUGAUAUACCACUACUGUAUUCUCUUUAAGUGCAGCAUCCAUCUCAAAAACGUGUAGCUUGACAAUUGGGAUUGUUAUCAUGCUUUGUGUGCCACCUCCAGACUUGCAAUCGUGGAGGGUGCUCCCAUUCAUGUGCAGUCCAGUUAACACUUUGCAUGUGACACAUGUCACAGCACUUUUUUCUUUCGCCUCAGGCAAAUGGCCACCUCCAGAGCAAACAUCAACACGAUUAUUGCUAAGAUGUGGUUAAAAAAAUAACCUUUUUACAAUUAACCCCCAUCAGACGGCUGCAAUUGACUGGAUCUGGUGGCACUCCUACAGUUCCUUUUCAUGUUAUUUAAAUAACCUAUAUAGGAUUACUUAUUAGGGCUUGACAGCUUGGGUAUGGAGAUUACUAGUAGGAGCAUUCCAUUGUGGUGGUUCUUCUUACCUGUUUCAAUUAUCAUGACCUGGGCAAUUAGUUUCUAUGUCUUCACCAUCUAUAUCACAUUUUAUCCUCCAAAGUGGAAUUGCCCAAGUGGUGUUCUUUAUUGUCAAAGAGACUGCAAUGCACUAAACCCUGGCUACCAUUGGGGUGUUACAUCACAUUACAUGGCCUAUGUGAAAAUUGGGCCAAAAUACUCUGCCAUCCGAUAUUGGCAGCUUGUUUGCUUCACUCAUCAUGUAUAUACGUUUUUAUCAGUGGGCUAUAUUACUGGAGGUAAUAUUAGAACAGCUGUAUAAAAUAUUAUUGCUAAACUGAUUUUACAGUUAUUGUUGGAAUCGUUACUCUCUUCCACUACAGGUUCUUUAUGCUAGUUAGUAUUUUUAUUGGAGCAGCUAGUGCAUUAGCUAGCACAUAUGUCUCAAAUCGCUCCUGGUUUAUCAUUUGGCAAGUUUUAUCUGCAACAGCACAUUCUUGUGCAGGAACAUCAGCCGUAAUGAGAUGGUUCAUGGAAUCACCUUAUUUUAUUGGUUGGAAAAGAUGGCUUUUUCCAAAUCAUGGGUUUGCCGACUGCCAGGGGGGAGAUUACAACCUUAUAGGUGAAGUAAUUAGUGAAUAUCCUAUAUGGUCUAUUUGUGUGCCAGGUUGCAUACCUAUCACUUUUGUAUGUAAACAUCUAUAUCCAGACUGGAGGUGGGGAAACAGGAUGGUGUGUGUCAUGGACUCUAUUGUUGUUGUGGUGUUAAUGGGAGAAAUGUUAGGACGAGUUUUGAUGAACAAAAGAAACAGUGGGAGAGUAGCAAAUGUUUCCAAUUAAGCAUGUAAUAUUAAAGAGUUUGAACUUUGGGCUGGUUAAAAUGAGAAUUCACGUGCCACCACAGAUAAUGCAAGUGUUCACAGGUUUUUUUUAACAUAUAGCAGCAUAGACAAGAAAUCACCUCUAAACAUUAAACAUUGCACACCUUCUAAAUGAAAAUGAAUGAGAGAGAGAGAGAGAGAGAGAGAGAGAGAGUCACCCAGUCUACCAGUGCCUUUAUGCCUUAAGAAGUUCUUCAAAAGAUAUCUUCCAAAGACAACCUCACUGCUAAGGACUUCUAUGUACUGGUGUGGUUUUGGUUUUUGGUGCUAGGGUAAUUCUCUCUUUUCACAUGCUGGAGAAGAUUCAUUUCAGCGCUUUUCUUCUGGCGUAGAUACAUGGCUACUUGGUUUACCACUUUUGUUUGUUUGGCUCUUUCUUUUUUCUGAGCUCUUUGAAAGAGUUUAAACACAUUUGAGAGGUGGUAAUGAUUUGUUGAGCACAACUAGAAGUUUAGCAGUUUUUUUCUUUUCAGAGACGACCAUCGAGCUGUUGAAGACAGGGUUCUAUGCCAAAGAGCUCAAUUGCUACAUUCAGAGGCUUCAUUUGUAUGGAAAAGCUGGCGUCGUCUCUCCAAAGGGACUAACUUUAUCGUUUCUUAGAGGAUAGCAUGGAAGACACUCAGGUAGUCUGAGUUUGUAAGAAAUGAUGAGACUGCUCAAACAUGUCAUCAUCUAGGGUCCAAGGAAUUGGAUUUACAAAAGAAGGUAAUGCUCUUCCAUAAUGUUAUCCUUACAGAGGAAAGGAUGACUCAUACACUCACAAGAUAGGCUUGUGGGAUCAAACAAAACGGGUUAUCAAAAAUUUAUUGGACCUUGUUCGAGAUGUGGAUCCUGAUGCUCCAACUUGAGAAGGCUUACAGUUGUAUCAUGCUGGAGUUUAUCUCCUCCGACAGGCAGCCCAAGACAGUGGUGGACACUGAAGAGCGACAGUUACGCAACUGAUCACUUCGGAGAUACUAGGUCAUGUGGCACGGAAUGGAUGAAGAACAGGACACUUGCGUAACAGACCAGGAGCCGAGGCAGCUAUUUUGAUGCUCUUCAGUGGACCACUCUGACUCAGGAUAUAUUACAAUCUUUCUCAUCUUGUCUCUCUUCCGUCCUUCCUCACCAGUCUAAUGCUCCACUGGUGCUGUGCUACUUGCUGCUACUGGUGGCAAUGCCCAGGCAGGUGAUGCUCAAGCUCGAAGGUCGUUGUCCCCUCUCUUGGCUCUCCUGGGGCUUUCCACCCUCACCGUUGCUAUGGUGGAGAAGUAGAACAGCGAUCAGACAGAUUACCACCACUUGGCCAUCAUGUUGGCCUUCAUCGCUGCAUUCUUGGGUUUCUUCUGUGUCUUUAGGCUCUUCACGAUGAUUGCCAAGUUGCCUGCUGGAUGGGGACGAGGACUUGCGAUCCUUUGUUCUUUGCUGGUGCUCAGUCUUGUAUCUCCUGGGUUUUCGCUCGCGUUUCAGCACUAGCCGCCACAUGUCUGAGGAAUCUACGUCGUAGCAUCAGCCUUUCCUCUUGGCUUGCACGGAGUUCUUCGUCUUACUUUCCCACGGUCAACCUUUGUACGUCGUGUUCUCGGUGUGUUUUCUCGUUUUGGGAGAAGGACUAUGCCCAUGCAGGAGGAGCUGCUCGUGCUAUGCUCGUGCAUACGGUCUUCUUUUUCUUCUGUUACAAAAAUAGAAAGUAGAAAGUCUUCUUGUAUCUUUUUCUAAUGCAAAUGACUUGGAUUUGAGAGAAUUGGCUACUUCCUUCCGAUUCUGAAGUAGAAUGGAACUUCUGCGCUAUCAGAUUGUCCACGAACCACAUCACUAGGACAAUCUGCUCUCUGCAAGCUACAGUGUUUUGCAUCAAGCGCUCGUGUCACAAUGUACGCCAUGCUCUUAGGCAGGCCAGAUGGCAAGACGAACAGAAAAAGCAACAAGCCAUGUAGACUAACAGCAAACUAACGUGCCUAGACUCGCAAGUAAGUGUCAGAGAAAUCGUAUCCAGCAUAUCCGAAUUAAUCCAGUGUCUGGAUUAUCAACAAAGACACAAGAAAGUUAUAAGAGUUUCUAGCAAUAGCUCUCUUACCUGCGGUACGAUAGAGGACACCCAUCCUGCCAAUCCCAAUUUCCUGGGAGCGUUAACCAGCGACAACACCUGAAAAAGAUUGCUCACGAACAAAGCCUCUACAAUAAGUUCUCUACCAUCGUGAACAAACCGGUCUUGGAGACCAGUCGCUUCAGGGAAAUCCGUGACUGCAGAAAGCAGCAAGAAAAUUUUGUUUUGCUCUUUCAGUACAAGCAUGACCAGAGGCUUGCAUACCGUUGACUUCUUUAUCCCGUACAUACAAAGUCUCUCAAAGAAUACAUUAAACUCAAGGAGAGUGUAACUGUGAUAGCUGUCAGCCUAUCAGAAAAAAAAAAGAAGAAAAAGAAUCAGAAUCCGAAGGAAAGCUCCAGCUACUCGCCGAGCAUGAGAUGGGGAUAUGUGAGCGUGAGAGCGGUGAGGAAAGGACUGCAGAGAGAUAAGAUGAGAAAGAUAGUAAUAUAUCCUCCGUACUCUUUCCCUCUGUUCCCCUGUCCAUACGUGUUCAAGUUCACAAACAGCUACCUAAAGCUGAAUUUCCCCUUUAACCAUGGGUUAGUGUUGAAGAUCGAUUAUGAGAACUUUGGAACGUCUGCAUGAAGAAAAGCAAACGAAUGAGGAACAAAAACUGAUCGAGUUUUUCAAAAUACCAUUAACUCGGUCCUCAAGAAAAACAAGGAAGAAAAAAAAAAAUCAUGACUCCAUAUUUCCUGGAAGCUAAGUUCUUCAGGGCAAACUUGACACCAUAGGCACUGGAUAAGCUUUCGAUGUUUAGGGGAAAUUCAUGUAUAAAGAUGCUUUUAAAACUACUGGACGUGGGAACAGAGGGAAAGAGUACGAAGGAUAUAUUACUGUCUUUCUCAUCUUAUCUCCCUGCAGUCCUUCCUCACCGCUCUCACGCUCCCCAUGCUCGGCGAGUAGCUGGAGCUUUCCUUUGGAUCUCUUUUCCCUCUCCCUUGCUCGAUAACAGUGGUAUCGUAGCCACUUCGUCUGGGACACACGCUCGAGCGUCGUGAAGGAGACCAGUCGUUGGAAGUCGGCUAUCAGGUAAAGCGGCCGGAAUGUUUCGUUUCGCUUUCACAGUUUUUGGUGACCGAUCUUCUCUGGACUGGUCAUGGAUAAAGGGAGGGAGGGGAUUCAUAAACCCUUGUUCUUCCUUGGUGUGAGGCGGGCAAUGGCGGCACCAUAGAGGCGGCCGAAGGCGGCGAUUUCCCAAGGUUUAGUCUUGAUGUUUUCGCAGCACAAGAGAAGAUGAUAAGGUGCAUAUCCGAUCGGCAGGAAGAUCUGGACGACAGGUUGCGGGUCUUAGGAGCUGCAGUGACCAGGCCGAUGGGGGACUCCGGAAAGAGGAGGGAGUUAGGCGCCGACCUUUCGAGUUCCAAGUACCACCAUUCAGCGGGAGCACGGUAGGGGAGUAAGCCUUCACUUUUGGGACAACAGCUUCAGAGUUUCCCAUUCCAAUGCGCGGGGGAGCCAGCGAGCCGAUACAAAGUAGCACCCAUGCAGACUCAGGGAUUCUUCACGUUCUCAGCGGGAGUUUCCGUGUAAUGGUCCUUCCCGGAGAGGCAGAGUGGGCAGGACAACAGGUGGGGCGGGUGGGGGGAAUCCAUUCCAAUCCACGAGAACUAGUUUAGGGAGUCUGGACCCUCUCGGGCUGGGUGGAGUGCGUGGGACUCAUGGCUGCGCAAGUUGAAGAGGUGGUUUCUAUACUGUGGUCAUCGCGAUUCGCACAAGGUAGCCGGCUCUCCACUUAAAAGCCUGGCCUCUACCUCAGUAUAGAGAAUUUCCUUGAUCUCAACUAUGGGGCAUUUUUCACUCCCGUAGCUAGAAACAAUGGAAAAAGUCACCAAUGAACAUUGGCUAUCAAGAACAAAGAACACAUACCAGACGUGGAAUGAAGUUUUGCAUGAAGUGCCAUAAAUGUUGUAGAACUUAAAAUCUUUUGGAAGUUUUGUAAAGAACCAUAAACAGUAAGACUCAUUUGCCCACUCAAAAAUGCAUCUAUUGAAAGGUAUACGUUGGUAAGUCUCUCCUGUUUUAUAUCCCUUGUAUAUAUACUCAAGUUUAUCUUAACUCAAAAAAACCUUGUGAUUAGUUUUAGCACUAAAUUUGUUCUUGCUGGGAGAGGCCACCAAAUCCAGCCAAUGGCAGCAAGGUAAUUGUAAAAGGGUUAUCUCUUUAACCACAUUUUAGUGAAUAAUAGUGUUAAUGGUUACUCUCAGUCAAUGGGAGGUGGCCAAUUGUGUGGGGUGAAAGAAAAAGGCAUUACAACAUGUAUCACAUGCAAAGUGUUGACUAAUAUUGGCACUCAACUUUUUGCAAUAGAGAACCUUUAAAGGUUUCGUGUAGAGCACCUAGGAUGACAGCAGGCUUAACUAUUGGCAGCUUCAAGUUGUGAUUCAAGUUUAUAUUUCAAUCUCUUUCCCUCGAUUUAGGGUUUAGUGAGCUAUGGUGUGUGCUCUUGCCAAUCCCUGGCAAUGGCACCUCACAUUCAUCCCAAAUGCACAAAUUCUUGCAUAGUGCCCUUCUUUUAUCGCUAUGACUGCUGGUUUGUUACCUCUUUUGGGAAUUGAGACAAGCUACAAUGCCACUAGAGUUACUGUUGUAAGUGGAUUUUCUUGUAGUGAGAUUGCAUUUUCUCAAAACUUUUUAUCAAGUCACUAGUGAUGGAAAAAUUUUGGGAGAGUCACUGAGAUCAUAGGUACUUUUUUUUUCUCUCUUCUUCAUUUUUAUUCUAUUUUGUUUUCAAGGUAGAGUUGAUUUGAGAAUAUGGUGGUAUGACACCUCUAGCAACAUGUCUAAACCACAAGCAAUUGAUGAAGUAAGCUAUUCUCCUUUCAAUGGAAGUUUUGAGAGUUCUUUUUUGUUCUUUAGGUGGUGGCACAAGCUCUAGAGAAUGCAAAAGUGAAAGAGUCAAAACUUGCAAUAGUAGUUGUGACAAUUGGUCUUGGCUUGAGUUUAUGCUUGGAUAGUAAUGUUCUUUGUGAUGUUUCUUGAGCUUAUUGUCGUGCCCAAUGCUUAGAGGAUUAUGUUGAGCAUCACAUUGAAGAAUUACUUGGCAUGUAAUUUCUCAGGCACUGGCAUUAGAGGAAUUCACAACUUACAUGCUUCUCAUUGUGGCAAAUCCACAUGGUCAUCAAGAUGGUAAGUUUUUUACUUUUUUUACCAAGUGAAUUCAUGGGUGUAGAGGUUAUGAUAUUAGGUGCUAAGUGCUGGCCAGACUUUGAUAAUGAGUUUUAUCUUUUGCUAAUUGUGUUGCCAUAGUGAUAGGAGUGUGGUAUCAAAAGAUUUUGGGUUAUCCAGGUGGCAAUAUAUAGUGCUCUUGUUAAUCUAACCAAUGACAAAUUGUACUAUUGAGGUGAUAGAUUAUGUAUAUCUUUGGUGCCAUCACCAAAUCAAAAUCCAUUAGUGGCAGAGAUUUGAAUUCUAUUUAAUGGGUUAUCCCAAGAGAGUGAAUAUUUUUUAUAUGAAUAAUUUUAUUUUUAAUUUAUGAAUAAAAUAAUCAACUUUACCUACUUAUUCUAUAUUUUAGGGCAAAAUUAACUUUCAUAAUUUAAUUUAAAAAUAUUUACAAAUAUAAUAAGAAAAUUAUAUUCUAUACAAAUGGCCUAUCUAAAUAUCUAAAACAUAUAAAACCCAACACCAUAUUAAAUGUGGUUGACUUAAUUUUAUGAAUGUGUAAGGCUAUGAUCAAAACUUCAAGUGUUAAUACAAAAACAUUAAACAACUUUAACAAUAAGAGUACAAACUUUAUUUUUAUAUGUAGCCUUAGCUAUUUACAAUCUAAUUCAUUAGCAAAAAAAAAACAGAUAAUAUAUGCAAUAUUUGAUUAAACAGUAUUUUAAAAUCUUUUUCCUAACUGCAAAUAUAAGUUAUUAGUAUAUGAUUCUAUGGAAUAUAAUAGUUGAAUUAUAGUUUCUAUAACAUAUAUGUACAAAUAAUUAUUUUCUUGACUGAAUUUGGGUAAUAAUAUAUCAAUGUUCCUAAAAACUUAUUGUUUUAUAUUCUAAGUAAAAUGCAUAAUUAAGUAAUGUCUUGCAGUAAUUAUUCUCUUUUUUUUGAUAAAGUAUUAAUUUAAGUUUAUCAAUAGAAAAUUCAUUUAUACUCUUUUCUGGGUCAGGUAUUUUUUAAAAUAUAUUUAUAUUUCUAAAUAAUAAUUUGUAUCUUAUAUUUUAUUAAUGAAUAUUUAUUCUUACUUAUGCCUAGGAAUAUGUUUGUUCUAGAUAUUUAUAUUAUCAAAUUUACAAGAAUUGAUUUUUGUAUUAAUCUAGCAUUUUUUAUGCAUAAUUCCCUCAAUUCUUCUUUCAAAAUGGAAUACAAUAUUUAUUAUUUUGAUACUAUUCUGAUUUAUUUUUUAAUAUAUUAAAAGAUCAAACAAUAUUUUACUAAUAGCACAGCAUUUUGUUUUCUAACAGGCUGAGAGCUAUUUGCUUUGAACCGAAAGUUACACUCAGACAGUCUCAUGGAUUCACCUCGGGUUUAUUGUGUUCCAUGAGGCACUUGUCGGUACGAGUAAAAGAAGUCAUGGUGCUACUGCUUUGUACUUCCUCAAAGAGUAACGGCAUAAACGCUUUGGCUUCUUUGUGCAGUCACACAUACAACACGUAUUUCCUGAAGCGGCUGGUCUCCAAGACGUGAUGGUCGUAGAGAUUGUGGAGGCUUUGUUAGAGGUCCUUAUUUAAGUGCGAGCCAUCUUUUGCAGGUCACUGGUUGACGCUACCAGGAAAUGCUAGAGGAUGGGUGCAUCCUCCAGUCACCAUUUGAUGGAUGUUAGUGCAGGUAAAAGAAUUAUUGCUAGAAACUCUUAUAACUUUCUUGUGUCUUUUUUGAAUUUCCAGACACUGGACAUCCGCAUUUGCUGGAUAUGAUUGCUUUGAGAAUUACUUGCGAGUGCAGACAUGUUAGUUGUUCUCUUAUUCUUGUUUGUCUUGCUAGCUCUCAGCUCAGACUUGCCUAAGAGCAUUGGCAUACAUGGAGCCAGAAAAACAUCAAAGCCUUGACAAGCCCAAUGGACGAGCCUUUGAUGCGAAGACUGUAGGACAAAAUGCUUGACACGGUUGGAUACCUAAUAGUGCAGAAAGCUUCAUUGUACUUCGGAAUUGCUUGCAGCCUAUAUAGCCAGCUUUCAAUCACUUGCAUAGACAAAAAAACUAGAGUGCAUUUAGCAAGAAAAAAACAUACAAGAAGAGCUGCUUUCUAUCUUCUAUUUCUUGCGAAAGAAUGCAAUGAAGAAAGCUACAUUUGCACACGCAGUAGUAAUGGCUCCCGUGAGAUGGGCGUAGUCCGUCUCCCAAUGGGAGAAAAUUCCCCACAGCAAAGCUGACACAAGAGAAAACAGUGAGAACCCGAAGUACAGAAAUGACCGUGGGAAACCAAGCCGAAGAACUCCGCGCAGGCCAAGAGGAAAGGCCGAUGCUACGACGUAGAUUCCCGCUGUGACCCAGACGCGUGGCGGCUGGUGCUGAAACGCGAGCGAAAACCCAGGAGACGCAAGGCUGAGCACCAGCGAAGAACACAGUAUCGCGACUCCUCGUCCCCGUCCAGCAGGCAGCUUGGCAAUCACCGUAAGCAGCCCAAACACACAGAAGAAACCUGAGAAUGCAGCGACGAAGGCCGACACGAUAGCCAAGUGGUGGUAGUCUAUGAGAUCCCUGUUCCACUUCUCCACCAUAGCAACCGCAUUGAGGCUGGAAAGUGCCAGGAGAGCCAAGAGAGGGGACAACGACCUCAGCAUAUCGUCACCUGAAGAUCCUCGAGCUUGAGCAUCACCUGCCUGGGCAUUGCCGCCAGUAGCAGCAAGUAGCACAGCACCAGCUCCCGCAAGUGGCACAGCAGCAGCCACACCAGGGUCUCCCUCAUGAGCCAUCACACCAGCAUCUCCCUCAGCAGGUGUGUCUCCCAUGGACACGCUAUCUCCUCCCUGAGCCGUCUCAACAAUCUUGUCUCCCGUGGGCACAUCUCCCUCCGUCACAAUGAUCCCCGUGAGAUCUUCACCUGGAUGGACAUCUCCUUCACCCACGCACUCGUCCUGUGCACCAGUGUCUCGCUCACCUGCAGCAGCGUUUCCCUCAGUUGGACCAGCAGCAGCGUCUUGCUCCGGCAUAUCCACAACGAUGUUGGUAGCGUCUCCCUCCGGCAUGGCAGCGGCGGCUCCCUCCAGCACAUUUGCAACACCAGCGUCUUCCUCCGGCAUGCCACCGGUGUCUCCCUCCAGCACAUUUGCAACGCCAGCGUCUCCCACAUCCACAAAGAUCCUAGUCGCCUCUUGGCCACCAAUUUGAGCCGCGCCAUCGCCCAGAACACCACCGCGCGCUGGAUCCACGCCCAGAACACCACCGCGCGCUGGAUCCACUCCAUGGCAAAACGCUGCUAGCGCUAUCGAAGCCACUAGAGAAGACAGCAUUGACAAAAAUCCUAGCCAGAAGAUUCGUGAUUUGGUGAUCUCCUCGGCAGGAAUCGCGUCUGUAGGAACCUUGUGUGCCUGAUGCUGGAACGGAUCCAAGAAUGCUGGCACUGGCGUUGUGGGGAAGUAUAUCUUGCUCCAGAGGAUCCAGACCACGAGCCCAAAUGCAAUCACGCCCACAGCUCCAAGCCGACCGCGUCUUGCUCCCCGCAGCUCCAGACCGCGUCUUGCUCCUCGCAGCUCCAUUAGGUCUUGGAGAAUGGCACAAGAUCUUCGCGUUUAAGAACACACACCCUCAUAUGUCCUAGAACCGACCAAGAUCUCAAAAAAGAAUAAGAGCGUCCUUCUUUGAUAUCUUGGAGUGGCUUCGUAGAAAAGAAUGUAGCUUUUUGCUCAGGCUUUCACAAAUCCAGUGGCUUUCUCCGGCCUCCGGCCUUCAUUCUGUGCACAUCUAUGAAGCUUGUGGAAAAUGUGACAAUACCUCUAGUUGCGCUGAAACAGUCCCUGCGAGCUCCCGACUGAACAGAUUGACACGAAUCUGUACAAGGAAUUGUCAUGACACGCCUACCUGAAUGGAUCGCAAUCGCAGCAGAAGUUCUGGAACGCAGCAAGCUCUCUUCUAUUGCAGGAAAUGAUCUAAGAAGAAGAACAAGAUGCAAGAACAGUGCUGGGAUUAAAUAAGCACAAACUUUGAGGCAGCAGACUGACCAGAUCUCGAGAACCUUAAAAGAAAACCUGAUAGUCCUCAGGCAGAAGUACAGGUUCGUAAGUCUACUACUUCUUUAAGCUCUGAAAGAUGUCCAGAAAGUAGUGACGUUAGUGACCAAGAACGACAAGGAAAUCAACAGCAGUAUUUCAUUAUCAACGAUAUACCUGUGUUUGUCAAGAGAGUACGCAACUGUGUCCGAAUCUGGUAGACCUGCUCGAGAAGUAAAGUCCAUUUAUUGCACAGAAUGUCCUGUCUGUAAGUUCGACUCUCUUUGUAUCUUCAGCUUUCAAUUAACGGAUGUUUUGAGUUCACGAGACUUCUCAAAGAAACUAGAGAAGCAUCGCAUUACCAAAUAGCCGUCACGGACGUAGAAUGGCAUUGCUGAGGAAAGCCAUCUCACUGAGGUCAGAUUGAUUUAGACAAACAAAGAUACUAUGUACCUGUCAUUCUGCCGUGCUCCAUCAUAUGCACGUAAAGAUCCGCACCAGCUAGAUUAGAGGCAUAAGGACGAGGAGCUCCAUGAGUAUUUCCGCGGUACUUUCCUGCAGGAAUGUGGAAAAAGCGCAUUCAGCCUCAUUAGCGCCUGGACCAAACUAUGUAGAUCAUGAAACAACACUUACACCAAAUUGCCCCCCAAACCUGAAAUACAUCCUGAGAUACAUCCUGUGUGCAAAAUGCGAUAAAUACCUCUAGCUGACUGCCGCUAAACAGUCCCUGAAGAGCUCCCGACGCAACCAGUCAGGAUUAUCACUUGCUGUCAUUUCAAGACCGGAAGCCAGCCACGAAUCUGAAACGAAGCUCCAGAGCAAGAAAUUGCAAUUUAAACCUGACGCACCUCCAUGCAUCGUAGCACAAGUUCUGGAAAGCAGCAACGACGGCAAAUAAAUCACGAAUGGAGCAUCCCGGCGUACACCAUCCGAGUGAAUAGAAAACGCAUCCAUUCGAAAAACUUCAGGAUGAAAAUGUGGAAGUUCUCCUGCAACAAAAGGAAAAAGAGAAGAAAUUAAUCCUGAUGUCCAGGGCGAAAAGUAAACCUUCAAUGACAAAAAUCCACCAUCACUUGUUACAAGUGAUUCAAUGCCUUCCCCUUCAAGAGCCGCACAUUUGAGCUCUAUAUCCAGUAACAUAUUGCUCUGAGGAUUGACAGCCACAUUCACCUGUUUCACUCAAGUCGUAAGGUUACAAAAAACGCCAGAUAGAAGUUCUCUUUACCGUUAAGUUGCGUUGAAUGGAAGCCAGCUCUCCCGAGCAAAAAUGCAAUGCGCUGUUCGGAGCAGUGCAAACUGUAGGAUCUGGAGCAAAUCAAGGAUCCGAUGAUCUCCAAAAAACGACAGUGGAAAAUAGUUCCACGGAUUGGAAGGCUUCAUCGUUGGUGAGAAGCCACUUUCAUUCGCUACCUGAAAACGAAAAUGUGAAAACAAAAUAGGAAGAAGCAAAAUAAGAUAGCUUACUGUGAAGAAAAGCAGUAGCUGUGUCAAGAGCUUGUUUUGCAGUAGCAAAGGACCUUGCUCUUUCUUCAGGUGAAAUGCAGUUCUCAAUUGUUGAUAGCCAGCUUCGAUAAUGUGCGUCACAAGAAAAGUAUUCUUGCUGAAAAAACGAAGUCCCGGGAAAAAAAAAUACAAAAAACAAAAACAGGCAGCAACGUUCUUUUUUUUAAUGGCUCUGCUUUCUCCUUCCGAAAUCUCAACACUGCACCAUAGCGGCGUUAGCGAGAUCUCUCGGAAAACCAAACGCUGUUGGAAUUCUGCCAUACAACGGGAGGCUGCCGCAGCUCCAUCAUAUCCACGUAAAGAUCUGAGAGGGAUGAGGGCCAACGAGCUCUUCCUUGUGUUGCGUGAAUACAAACCUCACGUACCUAAAAGAAUAACAUAAACAAUAAGUGGAAGUGAAAUCGAUCAUACGUGCUCAGGAUUCAAUCUCCAGCCAAUUCAAGCCUGUCCCCGUAUUGUCCUUCAAUCCUUCCGCAGAACCAGAUGUGCGGCGAAACGAAUCAUUUGAGGAUGCCUGUGUGGCCUGAGAGAAACUCAGCUUAACGCACAAUGAUCAAAGCCUACGUACUUGACGUUAGAAUUGUCGUCUACAUUUCCAAUACCGGUGCUAUAUCAGAGACCACGAGGUGCAUCUGUCCAACACAACAGCUGCGUCUCACAACCAGAUUCCCAAGUCACGAUGAAACAAAAUGUGUACCCAGAGUAGAGCUUUUGAAACAAGUUGAUAAAAUCACAAGGCAACAGGCUCGGCACAAGUGGAAGAUAAAUCGAUCGCGCUUAAAAGAUGGCGGUGAGAAAGCUCUCCAUGACCUUACAAGAGCGAACACGUUGGCUUUUUUUCAGAUUAGAAUCACAGCACAAUACCUCGCAGUUGGCGUCAACACAUGUGUUUUACAUUGCAGCAAAAACGGGACUCUCGUAUCUCCCCCCCUUCACUUGACGCUAUUUUCUGGAACACCUUGUUUGGAAACACAAACACAAGUUCAAGCCCAUACCUCGGAAGCACAAAAGCAAGCCCACUUCCAUAUCCUCCUUCCUCCAUCAAGCCCUGUAGCGUCUAAAGGAAUGAGCAGUCAUGCAGCCAGCUCUCCACGCCUGAUAGUGCAAGAUAGCUGUGUCAUUAAUUCAAGAAAAUAAGAAACUGGUUUUUGCUCGAGAAUCACCAGGAGCUUGGAUUUGAGCAGCGCGAGUGCUUUAUCUUGUUUUGAAGUUGGCUUCUCUACUCUAGUAUCACAAGAAAAACAAAGAAAGUUUUAGAACACUGCUUGCUGAAGAAAUUCUAGAAACAUUUGUUUCAUGUACCUGAGCAACGAAGAGUAAUCCCUGUUGGACACAGGUCCUGCGCUUCUGCGUUUCUUCCAGCUCGGAUGAGAUUCCGCACAUCUCUAAAAGAUUAUGUUCCAGUUUCUGCGACAAAUACGAUACACGUAAGAAGACCCGUAAGAGCGUAGUACCUGAUCUUCGGGAUGCAACCUGGAGUUGGAGCAUCAAGAUCCAAAUGUCGAACAUAGUGAGUUCCGAUAUUUUUUUUGAUAGCCCGUGUUAUCGCACGAGCCUAGCUUCUGAGGGUAUAGGCCCGCCUUCCUGUAGCGAUAACAUUUGUAGACACGAAUAUACUCCAUGCAAGAGUUUUACCUUUUUUUCUAAAUCCAAUUCCUUGGACGCCAAACUCUCGAGACAAGACAAAGACAAGUCUGAUCGUUUCCUGUAAACCCGGACUGCGCUUUCAAAAAACAAUAAAGUCAGUCCCACUGAAACGUAAUAAGCGAUGCUACCUUUUCCAUACAAAUGCCAAUGAAAAACCCAUGAUGAAGACUCGGAAGUUUGCAAUUGAGCCUUCUGACGUAGCCCUGUCUUUUACAGCUCGAUGGCUGCCUCGUCUCUGUAAAGAAAAAGCCGCUAAACUUCCAGUCGUCCUCAACAAAUCGUUUCAUUUCCGCUAGAUCCCGGCCAAACUCGCUCAAGAGCUCGGGCAGAGACGUGAUGCCUGUCAAAGAAAAACAUAAGCCGAGUUGUAUGGCUUGAGAAACAAAAGUGGUAAACCGGGUUACACCAGAAGCAAAGCGCUCAAAUGAAUCUUAUCUGGUUCCUAGAGACCAGAUACGGGUGAAAAGAGAGAACUUAGCACCAAAAACCGAAACCACACCUCUUUGAUUCGUGGAGCAGCAAAUGGGGACUCUUGGGCUCUUCAGGAAAGCUAGGAAUCUUUGGCUCGGGACGCAUUUCACCAGCAUUCUCACAGGAAGAAGAGAGAACGAGAAAAACAUACCUGUAUCGCCGGCAAUGCCACCAAAAACCCUCUUUACAAGUAAAAAUCUCAUGGUUUUGAGCGUCUGGUUAGUUAAGCCAGUAAGAGCGCGUCUGGUUAGGCUAACAAGAGCUGUUAGCGGCCGGAUCGGAAUGUCCACGAUCCACCGGCUGGUGCCGGUUCAAACGCAAAAUCUCACUUACAGAAGGCUCUUCAAAUAACUUAAUACUUAUUCAAUGUUUCACUAUUUUACUGUUAUUUUCCAAAAACCCAGAAAAUAUACUUGACCUGUUUGAUAAUAUUAUUGUUUUAGAUUGCCCUUCAAACGUAUUCAAACGUUUUUGCUGCUCAGUGUGGCAAUGUAAACCACAUGUGUUGACGCCAACUGCGAGGUAUUGUGCUGUGAUUCUAAUCUGAAAAAAACCAACGUGUUCGCUCUUGUAAGGUCAUCUUUUAAGCGCGAUCGAUUCAUCUUCCACUUCUGCCGAGGACGCUUGUCAAGUCUUUGAUGUUUUUCUGGCUCCAUGUAUGCCAAUGCUCUUAGGCAAGUCCGAGCUGAGAGCUAGCAAGACAAACAAGAAUAAGAGAACAAUUAACUUGUCUCCACUCGCAAGUAAAUUUCAAAGCAAUUGAUCCAGCAAAUAUGGAUGUCCGGUGUCUGGAUUAUCAACAAAGACACAAGAAAGUUAUAAGAGUUUCUAGCAAUAAUUCUUUUACCUGCACUAACAUCUAUCAAAUGGUGACUGGAGGAUGCAUCCAUCCUCUAGCAUUUCCUGGUAGCGUCAACCAGUGACCUGCAAAGAUGGCUCACCACCUCUAACGUUUAUGCCUUUACUCUUUGAGGAAGUACAAAGCAGUACCUGGCUCGCUCACAUUGAUUCCAACACCAUUGACUUCUUUUACCUCGUACUGACAAGUGCCUCAUGGAACACAAUAAGCUCGAGGUGAAUCCAUGAGACUGUCCGAGUGUAACUUUCGGUUCAAAGCGAAUAGCUCUCAGCCUCAUCAUCCACAUCCUUUUCUUGUUAUUUAUAGGAUUACAUAUUAGGGCUUGAUAGUAUGGAGAUUACUAGUACGAGUGUUCCAUUGUGGUGGUUCUUCUUACCUGUUUCAAUUAUUAUGACUUGGGCAAUUAGUUUUUAUGUUUUCACCAUCUAUAUCACAUUUUAUCCUCCAAAGUGGAAUUGCCCAAAUGGUGUUCUUUAUUGUCAAAGAGACUGCAAUGCACUAAGCCCUAGCUACCAUUGGGGCUUUACAUCAUAUUACGUGGCCUAUGCAAAAAUUGGGCCAAAAUACUCUGCCAUAAGAUAUUGGCAACUUGUUUGCUUCACUCGUCAUGUAUAUAUAUUUCUAUCAGUAGGCUAUAUUAUUGGAGGUAAUAUUAGAACAGUUGUAUAAAAUACUAUUGCUAAACUGAUUUUACAGUUAUUAUUGGAAUCGUUACUCUCUUCCACUACAGGUGCUCUAUGCUGGUUAGUAUUUUUAUUGGAGCAGCUAGUGCAUUAGCCAGCACAUAUGUCUCAAAUCGCUCCUGGUUUAUUAUUUGGCAAGUUUUGUCUGCAAUAGCACAUUCUUGUGCAGGAACAUCAGCUGUAAUGAGAUGGUUCAUGGAAACACCCUGUUUUAUUAGUUGGAAAAGAUGGCUUUUUCCAAAUCAUGGAUUUGCCGACUGUCAGAGGGAAGAUGACAACGUUAUAUGUGAAGUAAUUGGUACAUAUCCUAUAGGUUCUCUUUGUGUGCCAAGUUGCAUACCUAUCACUUUUGUGUGUAGACAUUUAUAUCCAGACUGGAGGUGGGGAAAUAGGAUGGUGUGUGUCAUGGACUCUAUUGUUGUUGUGGUGUUAGUGGGGGAAAUGUUAGGACGAGUUUUGAUGAACAAAAGAAACAGUGGGAGAGUAGCAAAUGUUUCCAAUUAAGUGUGUAAUAUUAAAGUGAUCAAGAGAACUUUGGGAUGGUUGAAACUAGAAUUCAUGUGCUGCCACAGAUAAUGCGAGUAUUCAGAGAGUGUGGGUUUUUUAAUAUAUAGCAGCAUAGACUUCUGUGGUGACAUUACGACUUUGCCAGUCAUACAAGAGAGAGAGAGAGAGAGAGAGAGAGAGAGAGAGAUUUAUACCUCGGAAUAUCAACUUAGACUGUUUCAUUAUGCUAAUGCGUUUUUCCAAUUAUUAUUAGAGUUAUUAUUACUCUCUUACACUGUUUGCUGGUUAGUAUUUUUAUUGGAGUACAUUAGCAAGCAUAUAUGUCUCAAAUAUGGUUUAUCAUUUUGUCUGCAACAGCACAUUCUUGUGAAGGAAGAUCAGCCAUAAUGAGGUUGUUCAUAGAAGCACCUUGUUUUCUUUUCCAAAUCAUAGGUUUGCAGGUGCCCAGGGGAUGAUCACAACAAUAUAUGUGAAGUGAUUGGUGGAUAUGCUAUGGUUUCUUUAUGCGAGCCAGGUUGCAUACCUUGUGUAGACGUCUAGGAUGGUCUGCGUUGUGUGGUGUUAAUGAACAAAAGAUAUAUUGCAAUCCACAAUGUUCCCGAUCCUCUUCUUUAAUUCACACUUACUGUUGAAGUGUCGCUUUGAGGAUCCAAAAACACAGAAUUUUGGUCCUGAACAAGCGAAUCGAUUUGCUUUCUGAAGGUAAACUUAAGAAAGUGCCGACUGAAGAACGCACCGCUUAUAGGUCCCUCAAAAGAAAAAGAGAAAAAAGGCAUUUGAAACACAUAAAAUCUUACGGCUGUGGAAGCUUGACAGGGCACAGGGCAUUCAGCAUGCUGUGCAGCAUAGUCACUCACGCUUCCCAGGAACGUCCUGUCCAAAUCCACGGUUUGAGGAAUGCAAACUAGAGCUUUUUGGCGAACCUUUUCACCAUUCCAAUGCCUCGGCUUCCCAGUAUUAACAUUGUUGGAGGCCACUCGUUGACAGCUUCUAGCAGCUUUUCUUGGGCAUCCCCUUUCUUGGAUACAAUCAGUUUUGUAGAAAAAGAAAUCAUGAGCUAGUCAAAAGUUUAUCACAAAGUACCUUAACGGGACUCACUCGACGCUAUUUUCUGGAACACCUUGUUUGGAAACACAAACACAAGUUCAAGUCCAUACCUCGGAAGCACAAAAGCAAGCCCACUUCCAUAUCCUCCUUCCUCCAUCAAGCUCUGUAGCGUCUAAAGCGCGCUCGUUGAAUGAGCAGUCAUGCAGCCAGCUCUCCACGCCUGAUAAUGAAAGAUAGCUGUGUCAUUAAUUCAAGAAAAUAAGCAACUGGGUUUUGCUCGGGAAUCACCAGGAGCUUGGAUUUGAGCAGUGCGAGUGCUUUAUCUUGUUUUGAAGUUGGCUUCUCUCCUCUAGUAUCACAAGAAAAACGAAAAAAGUUUUAGAACACUGCUUGCUUAAGAUGUCUAGAAACAUUUGUUUCAUGUAGCUGAGCAACGAAGAGCAAUCCCUGUUGGACACAGGUCCUGCGCCUCUGCGUUUCUUCCAGCUCGGAUGAGAUUCCGCACAUCUCUCAAAGAUUAUGUUCCAGUUUCUGCGAUAAAUACGAUACACGUAAGAAGAGGACCCCGUAAGAGCGUAGUACCUGAUCUUCGGGAUGCAACCUGGAGUUGGAGCAUCAGGAUCCAAAUGUCGAACAUAGUGAGUUCCGAUAUUUUUUUGAUAGCCCGUGUUAUCCCACGAGCCUAGCUUCUGAGUGUAUAGGCCCGCCUUCCUGUAGCGAUAACAUUUGUAAACACGAAUAUACUCCAUGCAAGAGUUUUACCUUCUUUUCUAAAUUCAAUUCCUUUAGACGCCAGACUCUCGAGACAAGACAAAGACAAGUGUAAACCCGGACUGCGCUUUCAAAAAACAAUAAAGUCAGUCCCGUUGAAACGUAAUAAGCGAUGCUACCUUUUCCAUACAAAUGCCAAUGAAGAACCCAUGGUGAAGACUCGGAAGUUUGCAAUUGAGCCUUCUGAUGGAGCCCUGUCUUUUACAGCUCGAUGCUUCUCAGCUGCCUCGUCUCCGUAAAGAAAAAGCCGCUCAACUUCCAGUCGUCCUCAACAAAUCGUUUCACCUGACUGCCUCCGCUAGAUCCCGGCCAAACUCGCUCAAGGGCUUGGGCAGAGACGUGAAGCCUGUCAAAGAAAAACGUAAGUUGAGUUGUAUAGCUUGAGAAACAAAAGUGGUAAACCGGGUUACACCAGAAGCAAAGCGCUCAAAUGAAUCUUAUCUGGUUCCUAGAGACCAGAUACGGGUGAAAAGAGAGAACUUAGCACCAAAAACCAAAACCACACCUCUUUGAUUCGUGGAGCAGCAAAUGGGGACUCUUGGGCUCUUCAGGAAAGCUAGGAAUCUUUGGCUCGGGACGCAUUUCACCAGCAUUCUCACAGGAAGAAGAGAGAACGAGAAAAACAUACCUGUAUCGCCGGCAAUGCCACCAAAAACCCUCUUUACAAGUAAAAAUCUCAUGGUUUUGAGCGUCUGGUUAGUUAAGCCAGUAAGAGCGCGUCUGGUUAGGCUAACAAGAGCUGUUAGCGGCCGGAUCGGAAUGUCCACCUCCAACUUUACGAUCCACUGCCGUUCAAACGCACUUCCACAAAUCAAAUAAUUAAUAAGUUCCGCUAUUUUACUGUUAUUUUCCAAAAUACGUUUGAAGGGCAACAAUAAAUAAUUUAUAUAAUCAAACAGGGCAAAACCACUUUUCUGGGCUUAUAAGCUAAAUCAAACUUUUUUCUUGGGAUUGGAACUCGGAGCAAGAUGCUUGCUAUUAGAAUUACUUUAGAAGCUCUUGUCUAUACACUUAUCUACAUGUAAGCAGCUAUAAAAUUACAAUUAACUGGAAUUGUCACUAGAAAUAAUCAAGUUUAUAAAUCUACGCAUAAAUUAUAAAUCUAUAAUAUCAAUUUUUCAUAACUUAGACUGUUUUAUUAUUUGUAUAGAAAUUACUAAUGUGUUUUCCAAUUAUUAUUGGAGUUAUUAACUCUAGGUGCUGUAUGCUGGUUAGUAGAAUAGUUAGUACAUUAGCAAGCAUAUACAUCUCAAAUCACUCAUGGUUUAUCAUUUUGUUUACAACAGCACAUUCUUGUGAAGGAAGAUCAUCUAUAAUGAGGUGGUUCAUAAAAGCACUUUGUUUUCUUGGCUACCAACGAUGGCUUUUUCCAAAUCAUGGGUUUUCAGGCGACAAUAUAUAUGUAUAAGGUGAUUGGUGGGCGUUCUCGCGCAGCACAGCCUGAUCGGAGAGGCGCAAGAGAUUUACGAGAGCAUGCCCGAGUGUGAUCUCAUGGAUAUCCUAUGAUUUCUUUAUGCAAGCUAGGUUGCAUAUUUUUUGUAGACGAUGCCACAAUAGCCAUAUGGACGUGGGAACAGAGGGGGAGAGUACGGAGGAUAUAUUACUGUCUUUAUCUCUCUGCAGUCCUUCCUCACCGUUCUCACGCUCACAUCUCCCCAUCCCAUGCUCGCGAGUAGCUCGGAUUCUUGCAAACUAAGCCAAGUAUGUUGAGUUAAAUAGACAUUUAUUCCUUCUUUAUGCUUGUGCAGUAAAAUACAGAUGUGAAGUCUAAUUUAGUAACACUUAACAAAAAACAAUAUCAAAGUUGAUCUUUUGCGAUGCAGUUUUAAAAGCAUCUUUUUUUUUUCUUCCUUGUUUUUCUUGAGGACCGAGCUAAUAGUGUUUUGAAAACCUCGAUCAGUUUUUGUUCCUCAUUCGUUUGCUUUCCUUCAUGCAGACGUUCCAAAGUUCUCACAAUCGAUCUUCAACACAAACCCAUGGUAAAUGUCGAUGUUAAAGGGAAAUCCAUCUUUAGGUAGCUGUUUGUGAACUUGAACACGUAUGGACAGGGGAACAGAGGGAAAGAGUACGGAGGAUAUAUUACUAUCUUUCUCAUCUUAUCUCUCUGCAGUCCUUUCCUCACCGCUCUCACGCUCACAUAUCCCCAUCUCAUGCUCGGCGAGUAGCUGGAGCUUUCCCUCGGAUCUCUUUUCCCUAUCCCUUGCUCGAUAACAGUGGUAUCGUAGCCACUUCGUCUGGGACACACGCUCGAGCGUCGUGAAGGAGACCAGUCGUUGGAGGUCGGCUAUCAGGUAAAGCGGCCGGAAUGUUUCGUUUCGCUUUCACAGUUUUUGGUGACCGAUCUUCUCUGGACUGGUCGUGGAUAAAGGGAGGGAGGGGAUUUGUUCUUCCUGGGCAAUGGCGGCACCAUAGAGGCGGCCGAAGGCGGCGAUUUCAGGGGAUUUACCAAGGUUUAGUCUUGAUGUUUUCGCAGCACAAGAGAAGAUGAUAAGGUGCCUAUCCGAUCGGCAGGAAGAUCUAGACGACAGCUUGCGGGUCUUAGGAGCUGCAGUGACCAGGCCGAUGGGGGACUCCGGAAAGAGGAGGGAGUUAGGCGCCGACCUUUCGAGUUCCAAGUACCACCAUUCAGCGGGAGCACGGUAGGGGAGUAAGCCUUCGCUUUUGGGACAACAGCUUCAGAGUUUCCUAUGGGAGCAGUUCUCCAACAGGUCGACGGUCAGCGAGCCGAUACAAAGUAUCGUUUAGCACCCAUGCAGACUCAGGGAUUCUUCACAGCGGCGCCAGCUUUCAGCGGGAUAAGGGCCGGUUCAAGAGCGGGAGUUUCCGUGUAAUGGUCCUUUCCGGAGAGGCAGAGUGGGCAGGACAACGUGGGGCGGGUGGGGGAAUCCAUUCCAAUCCACGAGAACUAGUAGGGAGUCUGGACCCUCUCGGGCUGGGUGGAGUGCGUGGGACUCAUGGCUGCGCAAGUUGAAGAGGUGGUUUCUAUACCGUGGUCAUCGCGAUUCGCACAAGGUAGCCGGCUCUCCACUUGAAAGCCUGGCCUCCGAGUCCCUUCUCUCUCGAGACUGUAAAACCAGGCUUCCAAGUUGGGAGGAGUUCAAGCAAAGGAUUCGGGAGCAUUUUAUCAUCACGUCCGUGGGAGAGCUUCCCUUCAACAAACUCUGCGGAAUGGUGUACAGAUUUAAGUCCCAGACGCCCAGGAAUUCAACGAGACGUGGCUUAAGGCGAGAUACGAGGUGACCAACAUCCCGGAGGAUGCUUUGAUGCAACGUUAUGGCAACCGAAAUAGCUCAGCUAUCUCCUCGCUCGGUCCAGCAAGCGAUGGGAUUAGCAUUAAACACGGAUCUCAAGUUCCACGAGUGGGAAGCUCGUCUUUCCGGCCGAUGGAGGCAAGGGCCACCAAAGGAGACAACGAGGGCCGGAGCCACCCAGAGUGGUAUGCCAACUCCCGAUCAGCGGAAGCAAUGCAAGUAAAGGGAAGCGAUGACCUCAAGCUUGGGAAAUGUUCAUUGGGAAGUUUGCAAGGCUCCGUGCACUUGGGAGAAUGCAAAAGACAAGGAUAUCUUAGUCCUGUAGACGGAUGUACCACAUUGGCCUCAGAAGCAGCGAGAAGAGGCGGACGCGGGGCUUGAGGGAGAACUUUCUGUGGCGAAGGCAUGCAUCUCCUAUCCGGCCUUUAUGGGAAAAGCUGCGGGUACUUGUUUCGGAGUCAAAGGAACGAUUAGCAGGAAGCAUUCGCAUUAAUUGACUCGUGAGUGCCACCGUCAACCAACAUUCUCUAUCUAAGCUGCAGCUCGCAGCGCGUCCACAGAAGACUCCUCUAGAGGUGGAGAUAGCGGACGAGGGAGUCAUCGAGGCGUCUGCCCGGGUCUCAUGCUCGAUGCUCAUUGGUGGUCACCAAGUGAAAGGAGAGUUCUUCAUCCUGGGCAUCAAAACACUUCGCCUCUUUUGGGGACAUUCUCGUCAACUUUGAUGAGCAUCGUCUCUCCUUCAAUCACCAGGGGAGGAAGAUCGUCUGGAGGGGGGAGUGGACAUUGGAAAGAAGACACGGGCAACCGCUGGACAAUGCCGGGGGUUGAUCGCGAGAGGAGGAUGUCCCAUGGCGUAUGAUUCAGAAACAGGGAUUCUUCUUCCAAUGGAUGGGAACCCGAAGAGAUCCUUUCGAAACGACAUCUUCAGCUUUCUCAGGCCUAGCUGCAAGGUCCAACCAUGUACCAAGUUCCGACUUCUCCAGUCACAGGGGAGGGGAACCAGAGAGAACCAGGUCGUUGGAGGAAGCAGUACACCACGGAAGCCAUUCGUGAGGUGGCAAGGAAGUAUUCAAGGGUCUUCCUCAACCGAGUUUGUGCUCAUGAAGCAAUCACGCACAAGAUCCAACUCGAGAAAGGGAUCGUCACGACUGUUCAUUCAGCUGAGCCAUGUAGAGCGAGGUGGAUAAGAUGAUCAAGGAGCUCAUGGACAAUCUCUUAAAGAGGACAGUUUCAGUCCUUACACGGCACCAAUAAUCUUGGUGCUAAAACGUGACGGCUCGUGGAGACUGUGCGUUGAUUACAGACAGCUCAACAACGUCACUCCCCAUCCCAACUUAAUUGAUGGACUCGGUGAAGCAGCUAUUUCUCCGAGCUAGAUUUGCGAUCUGCAUAUUAUAAAAUAUCCAUGGCAGAGAAGGACAGGAUGAAGACAGCAUUUCAGACUCACAGAGGGGUUUUACCAGUUUAAGGUGAGGGCUCACCAUCCUUUUCAGUCUCUCAUGAACAAGAUCGGUCAUUGUAUUUUUCGACGACAUCCUCGUCUACAGUCGAUCCUGGGAAGAACACCUUACACACAUCGACGAGGUUUUGCAAGUGCUAGAGGAUCAUGCGCUGAUCGUCAAACUCUCAAAAUGCUGCUUUGCCAAGCAAGAAGAGAAGUACUUAGGCUUCCGGAUAACAAAAAUGGAGGCGAUGAGUGGUCUCUCACCACCAUGAAGUAGCUCCAUGUAUUUCUCAGGCUCUGCAACUACCUCUGGAAGUCUGUGGAGCACUAUGCUUCCGUUGCGUCGCCUCUGACGGACAUCAUUCGUGCAGGCAGGUUUUCGUGGGACGAGAAUGCACGGUACGUUCGAACUUUUCGGCUCCGAUUCUUCAACUUUCAGACUUUGAGAAGCAGUUCAUCGUGGAGACGAUGCCUCGGAUGCAGGAGUGGGAGCGAUCUUGAAGUUCGAGAGCAAAAGGUUCUUGGAAGCGGAGUCUCGCCAGCCGGCGUAUGAUUGACAAAGUGGAGGCACUGCGAGGUCGCACGGAUCACUUCAGUAUGAAAUUUCUUCUCGAGCAGCCUCGCCUUAACAAAAAGCAGAGGCAGCUUCAAUCACUCGAUUUCACGAUUGAGUAUAAGCCAGGGAAAACAAACGUCGUCCCUGAUGCGCUCUCAAGGAUGUUUGAAAAGCCGGAGGUCAGUUGUCACACCAGAAAUCAUAAAGGGCUAAUCCAACGAUGACCAGACAACAACUUCAACGACGCGAAGAUUUCCUUCCAUGACGGCUUGCUCUAGAAGAAAGGAAGGAUUCUGCAAGAUCAUCUUCACCAAGGCAUUCUCGCGGGGCAUCCGGGGGUCGUGUGGAAAGGAAUGGAGUGUGAGAUACGCACUUGGAUCAGGGAGUGUCCAGAGAUAGUCGCAACACCUUGUCUUCUCAAGCAUUUACCUUCUCCAUCAGCGCAGCUCUCGUCCUCAGCUUCAAAGAAGGUGGUAGAGAUCUUCUGGAGGGAGGUGGUGAGGUUCCAUGGCGUUCCAAGCGAAAUCGUCUCCAACCGAGACACCAGGUUUCUCAGCCAGUUUUGAAAAGACCUUUUCACAACGUUACUGAGCUUCAGCACCGCCUACCAUCCCCAGACAGAUGGUCAGACGGGACGGACGAUUGGAGACAUUGGGGAUACGUGCGGACCAGCUGGGCACACUCGCGGAGUUUGCCUACAACACUGCUCGGCACUCAACCAUCGGUAUGUCUCCAUACCAGUAGCUUCCCCGAUCUUGAUGACAACUCCCACUUCAUCAAACGACGUCAGUGACCAAGUGGAAGCCAUCAGGAAGAUGCAGCAGCUGAUUGGGCAACGGUUGGAAUCUCCUCGUGUAGUCACAGCUCCAUCCCAGAUUCUUCGGCACACUCAGGAUACUCGAAAAGAUCAACGAGCUCGCCUAUAAGUUGGCAUUACCACCGGGGUCGCACCUACAUAACGUUUUCGACGUGUCGGAUCUCAAGCUUUUGCGGACCAGCUCCCGGAGUUUUUUCCUGCGCCGGAGUUUGUCUCCUCCGACAGGCAGCCUAUGCUGCAACCGAAAGCACACUGGGAGAUACAAGGUCAGGUGGCACGGAACGGAUGACGAACAGGAACGGACCAGAGCUCCUCGAAACAGACCUGUUAGGACGUACUAUAACGCAUGAGAGUACGGAGGAUUUAUUACCAUCUUCCUCGUCUCAUCUCUUCUUUCACAUCUUACCUUCUCUCCCCACAUCCAUCAGUUUAAGGAAUUUAAGCACUGUCGGGA
rnacentral:lncRNA from 1 species